GUCUGUCGAAGUCACUUUAUUAUCGCACACGUGACAUAUUUCAAUAAUUUGUUGUUUACUAUUGAGCAUAGCUCAGUACAAUAACACCACAUAUUUCAGAAGCCACACACAUUAUUUAGAUAGGUUUCCACUCAUACUACACAAGGGACUUGAUCUGAGAACCUGGCGAUAUGCAACAUAUCAUAUGUGUCUAUAUAUAGAUCGGAUACCAGCAUAUGAUGAGUGGAAGGCUAUAUAUGUAUGCAUGAACUUUAGGGAAUGCAACCAGGAGCUAAGUAUGAGGGUUGCUUGAGAGGGUUGCUUGAGCAACCAGGAGCUAAGUAUGAGGGUUGCUUGAGCUCAGUAUGUGGUGCCUUUGGAUGAGACAUAUCAUCGAUUGAAUACUCACGGUUUGAACCAAUACUAUUGUCCAUCAGCUUUCUUCCAUGAUGUAUGCCCUUGGUUCCUUCAUUUCUUCCAUACGAAUUUGCCAGCAAGGUGGUUUCUUCAGCCAUCGUUCCAUGAUCAAAGUAUGCAACUAUGCACAUCAUGUUCAACAAAAUGAGCAGUGCCACCGUUGCAGGCUUCAUCUGUAUAUAUUGGAUAUGUACACAUUAUAUAUGCUAUAUUUUGUAACAUAAUUAGUACGUGGAAAAUAUAUUGAAUCCUACUAAAGAAAACUGGUGUAGCUCACAAAAAGAAAAGGACUCACCCUAGUAAGCUGAUUAGUUGAAACUUCUAUUGUUGAUAAUCAAAGAUACUCCAGGCACGCUAUAUAUAGACAAUGGAGAACAACCUAUUUAGAUGAAGAGGAGUCUCAUGAUGUUUGCAUCUCUGGUUUGGGGGCUUUAGGGCUUGGCGCAUCAUGGCGCACCACAAACAUCAUAACAUGUAGUACUGGUCUAGACCACUACUUACUAUUGUAAAAAUUGAUUUAAGAACCAAGUAGUAGUGAUAGCUACCACUAUUGCAGCCAGGUCGAGCACACGUAUCAAUAUCAUCGCCUAGCAAUGCGUGCAUGAGGGUUAGUGCCAACACAAGGUUGAUAUGUGCAUUUGUGUUUGGAUUGUGAUGAGUGAUUGCCAACAAGUAGCGUCUUGGGUUGAGUCAUGUAGACUAACAGGGGCUGGGCCACAAAAUCUGGCGACACUGUUUCAGAAGGAAUCAAAGGAGACACGUGGCAUCAUUAUGAAGGAUCUAUCAAGGCGAAGCAACUUCGUGAAAAGGGUGUGGUUGUCAGGUCGACAUAUCAAGAAUUGGUCCAUUUUACCAUAGGCUGAGUGGAUACACUAUAUGUAUCUUGGGGUAGUUUAGGAAAGAGAAAUAACUCAUUAUAAAAAAGACGGAGGGCUUGUCACACCCAGUUUUGGAAGGAAAAACAACCUCGUGUUUGGUGUUUAAGCAAGAGUGGGUACACAUCAACGUACUCAACAAUGUCCUGUUUGGUUGAAGUGGAUUAGCUAUAUGUGGGGUUAAGCUCCAGUAGUUGCUUUUAGUUGGUCAGGUAUUUAUCAUUAGUAGAAGCCAAGAUUUAUCAUAGAACCCAAGUUGAUACCCCAAAAGAAAGCACCUCCUCAGAGAGGAAAGUACCAGACAUCAUAAGUAUAGCUAUCAUCAUUAAACCAUCAACAUAAAUGUAUCCAGAGUAUCUCUAAUCAAAGAGGAUCCCAAGGCUGCUCUUAACUGUGAGCACAACUGAUAUACCAGUUUCUAACCCUCAACAAAGGUUGCACACUUUACCCACGAGACAUGAUUCGCUUCAUUGAUCUCUUCCUAGGUGGUCUGGCAGGGUAUCACUACAUAGCAUUUACAAAGAUUCUCCUGGUGUGUAGCCGCCCGUUAGGUUUCGCCAGUCGUACAAACAAAAUCAAAGCAAGCAAGCGUUAUGCCCCAACUCCCAUGACGGCACAACGGCGAAGCAAGCUACACCCCAGAUUCCUCCAAUUAAUCAACUAAGGGCGUCCAAUAGCACCCUCAUGGUUGUACUGUUUUCCCAGGUGGUUUCUCAAUGAACAGGUCCUUACUGAAAAUAAUUAUUUUCUGUUUUUAAAACCUGUUUAACGUGUCUAAAAAUAAUUUUCAUUAGCGGUUUUAUUACGUCGACCACCAGUGGAAAUCGAUUUCCAUUGAUGGUUAAAUUAACUCAACCGCUAGUGGAAAUCGAUUUUCACUAGCGAUCCUCAGUUACCCGCCUGUAAAAAUAAUGAUUUCUAUUUCUCCUAGCACCGAUGGUUCUAAGAAAUGCCAGUGAAAAUAGGUUCACAACCGCCACUAUAGAGCUUCUGUGUACUAGUGUGGUAUAAUUAUGUCACCAAUAUCUAGAAAAUGACUGAUUGAUAUGCAUACCGAACACACUUUCGGUGUCUAGAACACUAUCAGUGGCAACAACACACAAUUUCAAUGUCCAACUAUCCAUUACUCCUUAAUACAUAGAUACAUAAAUUUCUAGACAAAGUUGUGUGGCCUUACAUAUUGCAAGUAUCAUGCCAGCUUGAGAGUAUCAGAAAGAUUGAUUGGCUUUGCAUGAAAGUAAGAAUAUCUUCUCAUAACUGAGUGGGUUUGGUGCAUGCGAGGUUUUUUGCCUAAUGGCUAAUGAUUAUAAAGCACCCCUCGAAUAUGUUGACACAUGGGCAAAUAAAGCGAAUGGUAUAAUUAUGUCACCAAUAUCAAAAAUGACUGAUUGGUAUGCAUACCAAACACACACUUUUCGAUGUCUAGAACACGCACUAUCGAUGGCUAACACACACUUACGAUGUCCAGGAAUCUAUUACUCCUAUCAUUCAAUACAAAGAUAAGUAUAUCUCUAGACAUUUAUCUCCUAAAUAAAGUUAAAAUAAUUUUAGUGCCUACUAAUAUGUCGCCAGGAUUUCGAACAUUGCCUAGCUAGGAAUGGGUUACCAUGUCUAGAUCUUACCUUUCCCAUUAGAUUGUCAUUGUAUGUAUUCAUGACCGCCAAAUUCUAUUUUUAUGUUUUAUAUCUUGAAACUGAAACAUUUGAAUAAAAGGCCCUCAUUUCCAAUCUAUAUGAUAUAUAUCUAUAUAUUAUGGGUUUAUAUACAAGCACAUCAUUCCAUGGUGACACUUCUAAUUAUGGAUUACAAUGCAGAUUGAUUUAAUUAGCUAGUUCACCAGCUUUAGUUUUGAUAAUUGCAAGCUAUAACAAUAAAAAUUAUUAAUUAUAUUAAAUAGCUUCUAGCUUUGUUCUUUGAUAAAGAAAACAUUUACUAAAAUUGUAUAGACAGAUGGUGAUGAUCUAUUAUAUAAAAUAAAUGUGAUAUUAGUAUUUUUUUAUUGGUUGUGUGCACAUAAGAAAAGGUAAAGGGGCUGGUAUAUGCACGGCGAUCAGGGACUGGUUUUUGUUCUAGCUUAAUUGAGCAAUCUGCACAUUAACAAUUGAAACUACUUAGAUAAAUGAGGACUAAUAACAAUCAGCACCAAAGAUGUUGUGAACCAUGCAAAGGGCUCACACAGAAUGACUUUCUGCUGCUAACGCGUAUUAAAAAAGCAGCACAUGCAUGUCUACAAUAUUAACGUUGCCUACACCUUGCACGCUUUUAUCAGUUUGACGGCAAUAUGAUUGCUCCAUUGUAGGGAUUCGAGUGACAUGAAAUAGAAGCAGAGUGCCUUGAAAGGAGCUACGCAUGCAUGCUGAAUUCGAAGCAGCAGUUUCAAAAGAAAACUUUAUUCUUCAUGCAACCAUGUUAGGGCCUGUUCGGUUAGCUCUCAAUCCAUAUGGAUUGAGCGGGAUUGGAUAGGUUUGAAUCCCAAACAAGUCAAACUUCUUCACAAUUUUUUCCAAUCCCAUCCAAUCCAUGUGUGUUAGGAAUAACCGAACAAGCCCUUAAUGUUGUAAAUCGUGGUCAUUUAUUUACUACGCUUGAUUGGUUCAAAGCAGGCGCGUGACCAGGCUCGCGCUGGCCUGCGCGCCUGGAUACUGCCGUUUUUUUUUUUGGUACGUGUGGGUGCAUAUAAAUAACCUCAAAAUAAUUUAUUUUGCAUCAGUUCAAGCACUCUAUAUGCCUCCCACUUGCAGGCAACCAAAUAAACACUUACACAAAGUUAACGCACACGGUGGUCCAGACCAAGACCAUGCGGGUAAUCAAUCAGAAGGUAUGUGCACGACCGGAUACAAUAAAUCUUAUUCCAGACAUAUGAAAUCAUAGGGGGCUCUCUGCUGUAUUAUUUGGUGCGUGAAAUAACUAGCUAGAAAGAAAAGGAAAUAUAGCUAGCUCAGUUGACAAAUGAAAUCAUAUAAAUUUUACAAAGGAAAUAUAGCUAGAAAGAAAGGAAAAACUAGCUCAGUAGAUAAUUGUGUUGUCCCACUAUUCAUGGGGAAUCGAGUGCAACCUUGCAUCUAGCAUAUCUUUAGUUUUACAAAUGCAAUUGUUCUUCACAAUCACGUUUGCCACUCGAUCUGAUCCGUGGUAAACACCAUCUGCAAUAUAUUACCAUGAUUGCCUCUAAGUUUCUAGCUUCUCAAGCUGUAGUCCGGCCUGGCCUGCUUGUCACAAACCUAGCUAUUCAAAAGAAUUAUUUUUUAAAAGAAAUAUUCCUCCUGAGGAAAGAUCAACCUCUCUUACUGCUUCGUUGAAUAUCAGGUCAUGAUGUGUGUUUGGAUAGUUCAGUACGACGAAGUAAGUUCUACUCUGUUCCUUUUCCUCUUACGAACAUCAUCAUAUAAUGAUGAGAUGCAGAAGAUAGCAAACAAUAAUUUAAAUUAUCUUGUUUAUAUUAUUUCGUGCAUUGUACCUACUUUCUUCUAUUUUCAUAUACAUUUAUAGGGACAUAACGUAUAAAGGAGGGUUGGAUUAGACAACUUAAAAUCUACUUUUAAAACUAUGUCAUCUAAUUUUGACCAAGUCCAAAUCUAAAGAAAAAAAUAAGCUAGAUGCAAAAAAUUAAAUCGUCUAGAAUGGAGAUCCACAAAUGCCACAAAGAUGGGACAUACAACCUAGGAUAUAUAUGUAGAUCCUAUAGUGAUUAAUAAGAAUAAUAUAAUGUGAUAUCAAAAUGAUGCAUUGAAGAGAAUACUUACGUUCUUGUCGAUGCAACAUUGAAUAUAAUACAUACUUAUACCUUACAACUUAAAGUAAUGUAUAUUGUCUUGUUCCCUAAACCUUUUCCUAUCUAAAUACCCUAUAUAAUUUGUUAGCCCAGUUUACAAUUAUUCUUCUUACAUUGGAUAUACUCCUUAUAAUCAUGAUAGAACAUGACAUCAUGCAUGUGGUAGACUUGAUGAGGAAGCUAGUCACAAAAUACCACAAAAGAAAUACUGUUAGACACGCGGUCGGCGAUAACCUUAUGUCCGACGGUCUGUCGGACAGACGUGAGACAUAUCCUUAUGUCCGACGGCUACCACACAGACUGUCGGACAUAAGCGAUUUUAAGCUACAACGUCCAACCACGCCAUUUCAUUUCGCCCAACCUCACCAGUGCCUUCACCAGCGCCGCCGCCGCCGCAAGGCCAACCCACCUCGCCGUCGCCGCCUGCCACCACCCCCUCUGCCGCCCGCCACCGCCUCGCCUGUGCCCGCCACUGUGCCCGCAAUCGCCUCCUGCCCAUGCAGUCGCCCGUCCCGCCGGCGCCCGCCACAGCAGGCACCCGCGGGCGGCCUUCUAACCAGCGCCCUCUCUGCCCCCACCGCCUCAUCGGCUCCAACGCCCAUUCGCCCCUACAUCGCCCGCCGCCAGCCAUCCCGAUCUCGCCAUCGGCUAAGUGAGUAUUUUUUGGCUUGUACUAUAAUUUCUAGAUGCAUAUAAAUUAUUUGCUAGUAGUUAUUUUUAGUAUUAAAUGAUUCAUUUGUUAAAUAUUGUUUAGUUUGUUAUGUUCGACGCCCAGAGUUUGUUUAUGUAAUUAAUUUAGCUUGUUUUAAUUCAUCCAGUGGUGUCUAGAUAAUUUAAACUUUUAAUUUCAGAGGGUAAUUAUUAUGCCCUCAGAAAUAAGGUCAUUUUAUAUGAUUUAUGGUUCUAUGAAAUAUUUUUUCUACAUAAUAUUGUACUGGUGUGGUUUAUUAGUUUAACUAUGUAAUAAUUUACGAUGAUUCUAAUUAUUCGUAGUGUAUCGUAGAUGUAGGGGCGUGAUUUACUUAAUUAAUGACGUUAAUGUCUCGUAUCUAGUAUGGAAGAGGAUCGUCGAUGGAUGUAUGAAGGUUGGAAGAAAAGAUGUGCUCUACCAAGUGAGUGGGUCGGCAAAAGUGACGCAUUUCUCGACCAUGCUUUUGCUCGGUCAGAGAUUGGAACCGAUGUUAGGUGCCCUUGUAGCAAGUGCAAAACAUUUAUUUUCUUGACAGGAGGUCUAUGUCGAUAGAUCUUUGUAAGAACGGUUAUAUGCUAGGCUAUGAGGUGUGGGUGCACCACGGUGAGGACCCACCUCAUCAUAUUGUAUCGGAAGUUCAGUCACAUGAAGAGGGGGGACUAUGUCACACCCGAAUUUAAAGGAUAAUGCCAGGUGCAUCUCAUAUGUGCACCAAGGAAGAACAACACAUAUAAUAACAUAAUGUAUAGAGAUCAAUGUCAUAAAUAUCAUAAAUGUACUUAUUACAUAGCGGAAGUUUUAGAAAAUAAAUAAUAAAUAUAAAACUAACUAAAUAUUUUUUCUCUGGCGUGACAAAGCUGACUGGGAGACGCCACCUAGAUCAAGUCGAACUCCUCGUUAUGCGGCUCCUCUUCGACCACCUGUUCUUCUCCUAUGGAAGUGUGAGGCAGCAAGGGUGAGCUCACAUAUGUUCAUCGCUCAACAAGAUAUGGGGAAUAAUGUGCAUGAACUCAUCAAAGGUGGGAAUUCAUGUGAAGUGUAAGGCUGAUCAACAAAAUAAAGGUUGAAGCUGAGUAUUGCUUUUUAAGUUGGUCAAAAUUUUAUUAGCAGUUACUAAUUGUAAGUAAAUACCAAACCAUAGUAAUAAUAAAUAAAAGUAAUAAUAAAAUAAUCCCAAUGCAAUGCAGAUGACAAAUUGAAUUUAAUUUCAUAAAUUAAUCAUGUGAGUGUCUGAGCUGCUCAUGACCGUGAGCACGGCUAGUAUACCCGUUUUACACUCUGCAGAGGUUGCGCAUCUUUACCCACAAGUCGUGUUACCCAUUUGCCACGGGGUUGAUCGGACCCCAUACACCUCUACCAAGGAAGCGAUGCAGGGUUCCACUACGAGGCCUUUACAAAGUUCACUAGCUUCAGAAAACCCGCUAUAGUUUCUAGGAAGCUCUAGUGCAGGUAUCCCUCGCCUGACCGCCAUCGCAGCAAAAUCAACCCGAGGACCUCCCCACACUGACCACUCUCAUACUACCCUUGCCCCUAUCGAGAAAGGUAGUCCUCCACUAGCUUUCCUAGUUUGUCAGCCAAGGGCAUCCCAUACCACCCUUGUGGUAGCACUGUUUUCCCGGGUGGUUCUCCAUGUUCCCAUUAACAUAAUGAUCUUAUCAUGAACAGUAAAUAAUAAACUGAUAAUAAAUAGUGUAAUCAUGAGUGAUAUAUAUCUCUAUACCCAAAACCACAUAAAGCAAUAGCAUGUACUACCCAAAAAUUCAGUGGUAACACAAGGUAUAAAGAUAGAUAAACUAGGGUAACCUAUUGGGUCCCAUCAAAAUUAACCUAUGCAGAUCAUUAUGAUUAAUAAGAACAUGACUGAGUAAAACGAAGUGAUCAAGGGCACAACUUGCCUUCAACGAGCUCCUGCUCAGCAGUCUCCACCUACUGAACCCCCGGAUCCUUAGUAGCUUGCUCGUCUACUCGCAUCAAUACAAACAUACAUAGUAUAGCAAAAAUUAACAUCACACCAAACAAUAGAACAAAAUGCAUGAUAUUAUCCUACGUUGUGUAACGAGAUCGUAGGAACAAGAAUCACUAAAUUUGGAUCUAUGAUUAUUAAGUUAUGACUUUCAGAAGUUAUUAAGUACUUGGAAUAGCAUAACUCAUGUGAAUAAUUUUAGUUCAAGUUUCAUGGCUAAACAAUGUUACUAAGUGAUAAACAAUAUUAAAACAGAAUUAAUGUCUCUGGAAUGAAUUAAUUUGGAGCUAAAAUGAAUUUAAUAUGAUUUAUACAAGUUUCUGGAAUUAUUUUUGUAUUGAAAAUUAAUUUCUAUAAUUAUUUUUUUCUAAUUUCUCUGAUCUCAGGAUUGGGCGCCAAAUUCUGUAAAAGCCAGGGGCUAGCGCGCAAGUUUUCCCCCACACUCAAGUUACUGGCGCAUGGACGACAGGUUAAAUUCUAAAAUCCAUAAGGGCUCUUAUGAAAAUCUACCAGUGCGAAAGGGUGCGCGCCGAUUUCGGGCAUCAGAUUGGAACUGGCGCAUGGACGGUGGGUUAAAUUCUAAAAUCCACAAGGGCUCUUAUGAAAAUCUACCAGUGCGAAAGGGUGCGCGCCGAUUUCGGCCUUCCGAUCGGAACUAAGGGCCACGAUUAGAUCUCACACAUCGCUCAACAUCUCACCCCCGUGACCGCCCGAUCGAGCAUCAACGGAAGGGGGCAAUCAAGUCCCAGCCACCUGAUUCUGAAUCGACGCACUAGAUUUAAAACUGUGAAGUGUCCGUUCAAUUCGAUCUCAAACUCUACCACGUUUCUCCUCACUCUUAGCUAACUCCGGCGACCAGACUGAGGAAUGCGGCGGCUCCAUUACCGGCGCACCCAGUCUUCCCUUUCCUGAUCACUAUUCUCCGAGGAAGUAAGUGCUACUCUCUGUGGGGAAGGCCCCAAUGCAGAUGGGAUGAGUACUAACCAACAACGACGAUUAAGGCGAGGCGGCCACGGCAACCAGCGGAAGAACUCGACGGUGAACGCUCCGGUGAUGAAUUCGUCGCACGCCAACCACCGAUUCCGCUCACGGAGGCUUCUAUUACUCUUGAUGCACCCAGACGAAGCUCCUCAGCCGCACUAUCACGAGCCGAAGCGUGAAUGGUGGAAACAGCGACCUCACCACGGCAAUAUCCCUCAUGGUACCCCUCGACGCUGUUGAUUAUGUCCCUCAACUGCGCAGGCGGCGGCGAAUUUGGGGGCAGUAGAUCUGGGAAGACCCGCAAUGGUUGUUUUAUACGCGGAUUCGGAUGGAUUCAACGGAAUCCGAGAUCACCGCGCUGCCCGAGCCCCCACUCCCUACGUGGACGUCGGCGGUCAACGAACAACCCGCUGAUGAGCGGACCCCACAAGGCAGUGGCUCCCACACGCACGAUUUCUCUGGAAAGACGGCCCUUACCCGCUGGGUCCACAGGGCGAGGCGCGAGCGAAAUGGAGGCUAUCAAAUGGGCCCUGCACGUCAGGACGGCCGCGCGCAGGUCUCGGAAUUGGGCUGAGCACGCGCUCCAUGGGCCGGGCAGGCCGAAUUCGGUCCACGCACAGUCUUCCUAUUUCUUUUUCUUCUCCUUUUCUUUUAUUCUCUUUUCUUUCUUAUUUUUGAAUCUAAAUUUGAAUUUCAAAUUUUGUGGUGAAUUUGUUCUCAGUUAAAUGUACAGUUUGAAAAUACCAGUGUGGAAGAUAUUUAUUCUUAUUUUUAUUUUAUUUUACGUAGUAUUUUCUCAUUUCUUUCCUUCUCUUAUCUUCAAACCCUAAAUUUAAUUUGGGGUUCAAUCCACAUCUCAAGCUCUUAUCCUAUUUUUAUUAAUAUAUUUAUGACCAUUGCUUAAUGCACAAACAAAAAUUCCAACAUGAUGCAUUAAAUAUUCUUUUAAUAGAUAUCUUGUCCUUAUGAUUAGGGUUAAUCACAUGUUAUAAUAAUGAGAUGGCAAACCAAAUGAUGAUAACCCUUACUUUUCUUUAUUCACAAAGUGGGUAUUACAGACUACGAUAGGAUGGAAGAGUUGCUUGACGAUGUACGCAUGAGCUUCUACCUAUCGAUUUCGAGAACCCCGUCAACCCUCUGAUUAUGAGGAUCCUUCUACGCGUGAGGUUCAGAAGUUCUUCGAGCUCCUUAAAGCUAUCAAAGAGUCGUUGCACGAGCACACAAAAGUGACCGUCCUUGUGUUUGUGACUCGACUUAUGGCUAUUAAGUCUAUGUUUUCAUUCUCAAACAACUGUUAUAAGGAGCUUCUAAACUUGAUUAGUGGUGUACUUCCGGAGAAUCACAAGAUGCCAAAGGACAUGUACCAGUCCAAGAAAUCGCUCUCUGGUCUCGGUAUGGACUACGAAAAAUCAAUGUCUGUGACAAUAACUGUAUGCUUUUAUGUAAGGAGACCGCGAGUGAGAAGAAGUGUACAAUAUGUGGUGAGCGUAGAUUCGUAGAGGUUGAAAACGAUGAUGGUUUCACCGUGACAACCGAGGUAGCAGUAAGCAGCUUCAUUACAUGCCUCUUAUAUGUCGGUUGAAACGUUUGUUCAUCUCCAAGAAUACAGCCCAACACAUGAGGUGGCACAAUGAAGGCAUACGUGAGAAUCUAGAUGUCAUGGCGCAUCCAGUUGAUACAGAUACAUGGAAGGCACUAAAUGCCUUUGAUUCCAGCUUUGUUGAUGAAGUGCGAAAUGUCCGCUUCAGUUUGGCAACAGAUGGUUUCUCGCCUUUCAAUCUAACUGCAUCGUCCUACUCAUGCUGGCCCAUUGAAUCGACGAGUAUCGAGAAAGAAGAAAGCUACUUGGCGUCCAUUGAAUUAGCAAAAACAACUAGAUCCAGAUUUUGAUUACGAUUACGAUUGACGAGUAUGGACCAUUAUUUUAUUGUAUAUUUUAUUUUUUUACUUUUUUCAUUAUUUUGUUGUCUAUUUAUGUACUCAUUUGUUUUUGUUAAAAUAGGAUGUCAAAGAAAAUGAGGUCUUUUGCUCGUAGUUUGCUUGGGACGAGGAGUAGCUCGAGGAGUGAGGAUUCAGUUUUAUCAGGGCAUAGGUUCUACCAUGAGCAGACAUAGAGCACUGGCAGAACAUUUGCCUCCAGACGAUAUAAGUUAGUUGUUAAAUUACAUUAUGUAAGUUACUUAAUGUUGCAUGAUGUAAGUUACUUGUUUCAUAGGAUGCUGAAGCCGAGCGACAGUCGAGAUCGAGAGAAGAUGCUACAGUUGGUGCGGUGGUAGAGGACCAUGCGAGAGAUGAUGAUGAAGAUGAUGGCGGAGAUGAUGUGGGAGAUGAUGCUCGAGACGAUGAUGGUGAUUAUUCUGAAGGCGUGGAUUCCGGUGCUGGUGGAGAUUCCACAGCUGGGUCUAGAUCUUCUCGAGUUAGACGAACGAGAAAGUUGCAUUUUGUUGGACCAGCUCCAGAGCUUCCACCCAAAUCUCGGUUUUUGAUAAAGCUAAGUGGAAAGUGAGUGAUAAAGUCUUUGUUUAAUUGUUAUCGAAAGUUAGGUCUUUAUUUCUACAUUGUUUUGUGCUUGUAGGACUUGGAUCCACGACUCGUUCACUGGCAGAGGACACUACAGGCAGGUGAACAUGGUCCAUGGUAAUCUUGUUCGUCUACACUAGCCGCCUGGUCUUGUGACUUUGCCUAGUGGCAAGUCUGUCCCUGCCACCACUUGGGAGCAUUAUCGCUAUGGUGUCUGUAGAACAUUUCACAACACAUGCACUAGUUUAGGAUGCAUUCUGGGUAAGAAUUGUUUUUACUAAUUUUGUUAUCCCAUAUAUGGUUGCUUGUAUGAUAACACUAUUUUUUGCAGAAACGGUAUAAGUUGCCGCAAGAUGGGACAUAUGAUCUGAAUGCUCGUUAUGUGUUUGAGAAUAACGCGAAUGAUGUCGUUGCGGAUGUAAUGUACUAUGCACGACUUCAGGCUAUAAAGGCAUGCUACACGACAAGUGAUGAUGAUCGGCCGAUGCCGAAGACCAAGGCGUAGUGGUCAUCACUUUACCUUACGGAGGAGCAAUACCUUGAGGUAAACAAGUUGUUGCAUCUCAUAUUGUUUUUGCUGAUUCUUGUUUUGGGUACAUGUUAAUCUAUCUAUUUGCUUGAUUGAAAAACAUUCCAUGUAGGUGUUUGUGCCUUGGAUGGCCACCCGAUCAUAAUGUUAUUGGGCCUUAUGAAGGUGGUGGGCUUUCCCUGAGUUUCGUGCCAUUUCCGAAAGGAACAGGGGAAACCGUGGUACUGAGUCGUUCCACAACUAUGGCAGCGAUCGACAUGUGCGCUUGGCUAAGCGAAUGGUAUGUCACAAUAUGUUGUAACUUCGAAUUACAUAGAAAUGUGUCAUUCUAACUUGUAUGUACAGGAAGUCAAAUCUGUCCUACGCCCACAGAUGUGGAGGUGUAUAUGCAAGGGCAUAGGGGUUCUGAUCCUUAGAAUCCUGAUGUUUUAUGCACACAGAUAACCACCGACCAUCUAGUGAGUUUUUGGUACUCUAUUAUGUGUUUGUGCAUCAACUUGGUGAUGCACUUAUAUUUGGUAUGUUUGCUUCUAGGCUUCGUAUGGGCAAGAGAUGGUUUAGCGCCAUGGGUAGGACUACGACUAGAGGAGCCAGCCAAUCGACCCUCAAGCAGCAUAUGCUAGCGCAGGAGGACAAGCCCAUGGACGGUGAAAGUAUUUGAUUUGGAUUUCAAAAUUAUUCUCAUAUGCUUGCGAUUGAAUUGAGUCCAUGGUUUACUCUACUAAGUCCAUGGUUUACUAUACUAAGUGCAUGGUUCACUCUUGUAGGUUGGGUAUUUUUUAUUCUACGAUUGAUUCUAGGGAUCGAGCUGAGACGAUGUGGACGAACAUCCUCGUCUUCGCAGUCGUCCCAUUCUCGAUCAUCCACCCAAGAGAUAGAGAUUGCAGUGUUGCAUCAGCAGGCAGAUUAUCAUUAAUCAGUUUUGAGGCAACAAAUGGAGUACCAGAGGCAGCAAGCUAAGUACCAGAACAAGAAGGACGAGUAUUGUUGGGGGCCUUCUCCUUCCGAAGGUCCUCAAAAACAUAACUAACCAUUUGUUUCCAGCAUAAUUUAUUACAGGAAACUUCGUCUUCAAGAUACAAGCUUCUCCCUUAUGACGAAGGCACACAAGAUGAAGAUAGAUCCAAAGAGGAUAAAAGUAAAUGCUGAAGCUAUCACCAGAUGGACUGCUUCGGCUCGCAACAUUGAUGAUGAAUAACGAUAAUGAUCGAAAGAGCAAAAGACUAAUUAGUCCUUAAUAACUUAUAUUACGAUCAUGUGUAAAUAAUGAUGACAUAAAUGUAAUUUUUCUCAGGUUGUGUCUCGUGCCUAUAAAUAGAUGAACAGUACCACUGUACUGUUCACGCUGCAUUGUGAUCACUCUCUCGCGUAGAAUGUGAAUAUGAAGGAAUUAAUAAGAUGCAAUUAUCGUCUUCGUCCUUUUGUAUUCAUAUCUAUAUAAUAAAUGAUGAAGGCCUGUCCUUCUUGACCUUCGUCUUAUGAGUAUUACACCCUAGUGGAAGUAAUGCUCCAAAGGACGAAGGUUCUUAAUCUUUAACAAUUGUGUUGUCUUGUUCUUGAUUCACAACAUUUGAGAACAAGUGAACAACAAGUAUUAUUCAAACCUCCAGGGCUAGAAUCAAGAUCUACUCUCGGUAAGUUGAAGUAACAUUUUGUUCGUAACAACUAAAAAUACAUGAUGUGUACCUUAUUUUCUUAACAAUUGUUUGUAUCUAAUUUGUAGCAACUGGCACAACAAGCGGGUGUCCCAAUACCAACAUAUGGGAUGCCACCUCUGGACUUUGCACUGCUGCCACCAAUGUUGUCUCCUCCACCUUUGCCACAAUUCCCUGUGGUAUGUACACAUAUUCGUGUGUGACAUGUUCAUAUAUAGAUGCCUUAUGUGUAAAAAUGAAAAACGUAGUGGUUAAUGUUUCAUAUGUGUGUGUGUUAUAGGGCUUUGAGACACCUCUCGCUUCAGUUGCCGCACCUAGAGAUGUGUCUGGUCAAGACGACACAUCAACUUCUUGGGUGAACAACCUUUUCAACACCCAGAGUCCAGCCGAAGGAAGUGGCUAUAACUCCAACCAACCAGGUGACAGAUAUGUGUGACAGUUUCUGUAAAUGUGUUUGAUUUGGAACUAUGUCAGUGUUGAUGUCAAAGACUAUGUGAAUGUCAAACUAUGUCAGUGUUUAAUUUGGAACUAUAUGUUGAUGUAAAAGACUUGUUGCAACUAUUUGGAACUAUAUGUUUGUGAAUGUGAGGUGAUGUUCGAUAAUGUGAAUACUUAUGUGAAUUGAUGUUUCUUAAUGUAAUUGUGAAUGUGAUUAUGAAUAUGUGGAUGUAUAUGAAUUCUGUGUAUAUAUAUGAAUUUUGUGUUUUUCUGUAAAUGUCAGAAAUUUACAAAAAUAGGGGUUUUUGCCACUGUUGAACAUCAUUAUGUCCUACGGUGUUAGCAGAAGCCGUCGAACAUAAGGCUCUGUUAUGUACGAUGGCCUUGCUAAGCCGUUAGAACUAAUAGAGCCUUAUGUCUGAUGGCCUCCGCUAAACCGUCAGACAUAAGGGACAUGGGCCCUGCCAACAGUUGUUAAGACCGUUAUCGAGGAUAAACGUCGACAACCAAAAGGUUCCAUCGGACAUAGCUUAUUUCCGAUGGCCGCCGUUGGAAAUAAGGUUAUUUUUGACCCUUUACGGCCGAGGGACAAGUACCGUCGGACAUAAGCCUUCGGUCAUCGGAAAUAGCUUAUGUCCGACGGCUUAGGGCUUAUCUUCUACGACUUUCGCCGUCAGAAAUUCCCUAUUUUACUGUAGUGAAUAUCAGGUCAUGAUGUGUGUUUCGAUAGUCUAGUACGACAAAGUAAGGCCCUUUUGGUUCUUUUAGUCACCUGACUAAACUUUAUUGACUAAAGUUUAGUCACUAAAAUACCCUGUUUGGUUCCAGUGACUAAAAUUGACUAAAGUUCAAUAAUUACUACUAUGAUACCCGGUUUGCAAAGAGGAGAAGUGGAGGUUAUUCUUUUUGUUCUUUUUCCUCAUUCGGGAGAUGCGCUUUGGGAAUUUGGAAUUUGUGGAAAACAUUCACCUGUAAGACAGUACAAAUUCUUUGGUUAGUUGCUUGCGACGGGGUCGGGAGCUGUCACGUGGGCGAGUUGGGCCUUGAACCUUGAUCCGGCCCAUUAGUCUCCCCUUAACCCUAGCCACCCUCCCCUAAUUCCCCCCUUUGUGCCGCCCCCCCAUUUCCCCUAGGCCUUGGCCGCCGCCCCCCCCCCUCCCCUCUCUCAUCUUCUUCCUCCUCAAACCCUUGCAGCCAUCACCACCCAAAACCCUAGCCGCCCCUCCAUUUUCUCCUUCCCCCUCCAAGGUGCAGCCCUCCCGCGUGGUUCUCCGUCGUGUGGCUGCGAUCUCAAUUGGAGUUUGGAGGGAGGAAGAAGGAAGGAGGAAGGGAAGAACCCAAGGUAAAUUUGUGUUUAACUUUUGUUGUUUUUGUUCUGCAAUCAAUUGGAUUAUGCGUUUAUCUUUGCGAAUCGGUAGAGGUGCUGUCCAUAAAUUUUGUGAGUGGGUGAACAGCAGUAGUUCUAGGAUUUCUGGGAAUUUUCGUGGGUUAAUUAGUGGGAAUCAGUGAGAUAAUAAUGUAGAGCUUUGUCAUACUUUUCCAACGAGUACUUAUGCGCUCGAUUGGGCGUUAUAAUUUAGGAGAUAUCGUUGUUUGAAUCCGGGUAUGUUGCUGUCCAAAAAAAAACAGAUUUUUCAGGUGGGUGAACAGCAGUAGUAUUAGCAGUUUCUGGGAAUUUUUCGUGGGUAAUUUGUGACAACCAGUAUGAUAAUCAUGUAGGGCUUUGUCUUAUCUUUCCAAUGAGUACUUAUGUGCUUGAUUUGGAAUUAUAUUUUAAAUGAUAUCGCUGUUUGAAUCCGGGUAUGUCGCUGUCCAAAAGAAAAAAAACAGAUUACAAGGUUUAUCUUGUGGACUGUUUUGGGCUAAUUAGAUAUUAGAAUUUAAUUAUAAAUUGUAUACAAAACUUGUGGGGAAUUUUAUGUAGAUGCCUGUGGAGUUUUUGUUUGUUACCACUGCUGUCAUAAAUUUAAAGUUAUGAAAUUAUUAAGCUGCACGCUGCAGUUUGGUGGGUGUGGGGAGAGUUGUUACCCGCGACGGGGUUUGAGAUUGUGCGUAGGUGCGGUGUCGUUUAUGAGUCUUAUUAUGUGAAAUUGGUGCACUAAGUUGUGUGUCAAAAACAGGUGGUGGACAUCUGGAUCGUACUUAGGGAUUUGCCCAAACUUCCGAUGAAGGCAAGUAAAACAGUGAUGGUUAUUCCGUUUGUUGAUUGAAGAGUCAUAUACGUGAUUAUGUUUGUGCUAUUUUUGUUCAUAUUCAUAUUCCUAAUUUGGUAUUGUCGUUUGAAGUUAUUCAUGUUUUAUUGAUAUACAUGUGGAGGGUGUGGUUUGAUCAUGUUAUCCAUGUAGUUUAUUAUGUGAAAUGGGUGGAAGUAUAUGUCUAGCACAUUUUAUUUGGGAAGAACUCAUGUUGUUGACAUGCAUAAUGCAUUCAUCAUCCAUUGCAUUGAAGUUUCGUCGAGAUCUUAUGGUCCGACCGUACCGGUACAAUGAGCAUCAUAUUUUGCCCGAGAAGGGGUAUGAUGCAGCUUCAUAUCCUUAGAGGUAUGAAGGCAGAAGUCAUACUGCAUCUGUAGCCAUGUGCAUUCAUGGGGGAAGUAUGGAACCUAUUAUGCUCCAAAUUACUUGCUUACUUGCUGCAAAUUAAUAUUUAAGAAAGAAGUUGGGAACCACGUGGUUGCUUAUGCACGGUUGGUUUACAUUGUCCAAUUGUUGUUUGCUCUUUUUUUACUUGCUGAGAUGUGUCAUCUCACUCUUGCAUUGUCUGAGGCAGGCACAUGAUCUUUGCUUUGGGAAAGAAGGGAUGUAGCAGCACGGCCACCACACCUUUAAAUAAAGGAACCACUGCUUAAUAAUGAUAUUAAACAGGGAGGGUCAAAUCUAGAGGAUUAUUACAUUCUAACCUUUCAUGGUAGUUGAACUGUUUAGUUUGGUGGGCUGAGUUGUCUAUCUAUUGUCCGGUCAUGAAUGUUCAUUUCUACCGUUGCAAUUCGAUUAUACUAUGUCAAUUAUCUUUCUUUUAUAUCCCGUAUAAACUCUAUGUUUCCCUUGUUAUGCUACUUUCAAGGGAGGUGCUGCCGGAUUCUGCAAUACUUUCUUUCUCUAUGUGUUGCAUAAGUUUUGUAGGAAGGGUUUUUGGUAACAUCCAUUGUGUGGGAUCAGUGGGGUCUUACAGUUGGUAUCAGAGCAAUAGGCUGUAGGUCCUAGCAAGUGGAGUAAUAAUAAAUUGACACACUGCACAUGUAGGAUGGGUUUUCUGCUUUACUAUUGAUAUGUUAUGUUAUUGUCUGAGCUAGUUUGACAUUAUCUGUUUACUUAUUAUUCUCAUCCCUGUGGCUGCAGCUAUGCCGCGUCGUAGGGCUUGGGGUAGUCCGCAAGUUCCUAGUGGGGACUCGAUGAGUCCGACGGCAAUGUUAGCCGCGAUGCAGGCCAUGCAACAGGAGUUGGCCAUUCUGAGGCAAGCUAUUCUUGUUGCCCCAGCAGGUGCUGCUCAAGGUGCUGGUGGUGGAGGAGUGCCUGGGGGCGCUGUCCCUGCGAGUGCUGCUCAAGGUGGCGGGGCCGAGGUGCCUCUUCCAGUCAAUGGUCUUUCUCUGAUGCAGUGGAUGGGCAUGAAGUUGGAUUCUUUUGAGGGCAGUGGUACUCCGGUCGAGGCUGCAUAUUGGCUAACUUAAGUGGAGGAUAAGAUGAAUGUCUUCAAGAUUGUGUAUGGAGAUCGGGUUCGCUUUGGCACACAGCUGCUAAAGGGAGAGGCUCAAAUUUGGUGGAGAGGCGUGCAGGAAGCGCACUCCUCCUCACCAGGAGUCCUGUCUUGGGAUGUCUUCAUCAUGCAGUUUGAAAGGAGAUUCUACCCGGUCACCUUCCUAGAGAAAAUGAAGAUUGAUUUGCAGUCCUACAAGCAGGAGAAGAAGUCUGUCACAUAGUAUGAAGUGGGCUUCAACAAGAUGGUCUGCUUUGUCCCUCAUGUGGCUUAUAAUGAGAUAGAGAAGGCGAGCCAGUUCCGUCAAGGCCUGAAACCUUCCAUCAGGCAUGCCCUGGGAGCUUUUCGUUGGUGGACUUCCAUACUACAGUGGAGCAGGCACUAGGUGUGGAGAUGCAACACCAGUUUACCAUGGAGUCGCAGAAGUCUUCGGGUGUUGAUCAGCCUCGUGGCUAGGACGCGAGGAGGGGCAACACUGGAGGUCCAGCCCACAAGAGGGGCAAGUCUCAGCAUCAGCGCCACCAUCCCUAUCGUGGCAAAUCCUCUGACUCGGGUACUUCGGGAGGAAGUACUCAAAGGUUUCGGGCCGUUCCUAAGCCCGGGCUGGGGCUGGUGUGUUUCCGUUGUGGUGAUGCGCAUCACCGUGCAGAGUGCCAGUGGAAUGGCAGAUGUUCAAUCUGUAGUCAAGACCACAAGGAUGUGGUGUGUAGGAGGAAUCCCAAUGGGAGCUAGUGACUUCCUCCUCUUCUCAGGGCACUGUCAACAUGAUGUCAAGCGUUGAGCAGCAAUUUUCAGUUCCACUUCCUCCGCAGCAGUUUUAUGUGCUUGGGACCUCUCAGUUCGUGCCGGUGCAGGAUUUUCCUCAGUAUCUGGCUGCGCCUACUCCUGCACCGACUACUCCUAUGUCGUCUCAGUUUGGAGCUCCGCGUCUGCCUCACCCGACGACUUAGUGGGGUUCUUCUGUUAAUUUCACUUCGGGAGCUUCCUCUUCUGCGGGUAUUUUCGGAGCCUAUGUGCUACCCACUGUGGAUGCCAGAGAGCAAGGAGACGUGGUGACAGGUACGGUUUCAGUUGAUUCGUUUGGGGCCCAUGCUCUUUUUGACUCCGGCGCUAGCUAUUCGUUUGUUUCGGAGAAUUUUGUGUCGCGGGCUGGUCUUUCGGUGCAGAGGUUGGGUCACCCAAUUUUGGUUAGUUCUGCUAAUGGCUCCAUUAGUAGUUGUUCAGUUUGUUAGGGGUGUUCCGUUAUUCUUGCUGAUGAGGUCUUUUCGGCCAAUCUUGUUGUGAUUUCCUUGGGGGCAUUCGAUGUUAUCUUGGGUAUGGAUUGGUUAUCUCAGUAUCACGCAGUUAUAUCCUGUUUUUUGGAAGACGGUGUUAUUGCAAGCACCAUCGGGUAGGGAGGGUGGUAUUCUUGGGAAGUUCCCCAAAGUACUCGUUAUCCUUGUUGGCGCAAUUGCUUCAGGAUCGCCGGUCAAGGAAGUCAGGAACCUUUUUCUCCAUGGUGGUGGAGGGUGAGGCUGCCUUGCGGGUACAGGACAUCCGUGUGGUGUGCGACUUUGCUGACGUGUUUCCGGCAGAGCUUCCAGGCAUUACUCCAGAGCGCGAUGCAGCUUUUGAGAUCAAGCUGAUUCCGGGUACGCAGCCUAUUCAUAAGGCCCCAUAUCGAAUGACCCCAAAGGAGCAGGUUGAAUUGAAGUGGAAUUGGAUGAUCUGCUGGCUAAGGGUUUCAUUAGGCCUAGCAGGUCUCCAUGGGCUUCCCCAGUAUUGUUUGUUGAGAAGAAGGAUAAAAGCAAGUGGCUAUGUGUGGAUUAUCGCGCUUUGAAUCAAGUGGCAAUCAAGAAUAAAUAUCUGCUACCCCGUAUUGAGGUUCUCUUUGAACAGUUGAGGGGUGUCCAGGUCUUCUCCAAAAUUGAUUUGAACUCUAGUUAUCAUCAAUUGAGGAUUCGUGAGGAGGAUAUUGAGAAGACCGCUUUUUGCACCAGGUAUGGGCAUUAUGAGUUCAUAGUCAUGUCUUUUGGCUUAACUAAUGCCCCUGCUGCUUUUAUGGAAGCAAUGAAUAGGAUGUUGCAUGAGUUCUUGGACGACUUUGUGGUCGUGUUCCUGGAUGAUAUUCUGAUUUAUUCAAAGAUCGAGGCUGAGCAUGAGCAUCAUCUCCGUCUCGUUCUGGGUGCCCUAAGGAAGAAUCAGUUCUAUGGCAAGUUGAAGAAGUGUGCCUUUUGGCUGUCCGAAGUGGCUUUCCUAGGGCAUGUGAUUAAUCAGCAGGGCAUUGCGGUUGAUCCCAAGAAUGUUGCGGCUGUGGUGGAGUGGAAGAGACCCUCUAGUGUCUCUGAAAUUCGAAGUUUCUUGGGGCUCGCUGGAUAUUAUCGGCGCUUCGUACAUAAUUUUUCCAGCAUUGCGAAGCCUUUGACCAGACUCUUGGAGAAGGGUGUUCUCUUCGUCUGGUCCGACGAUUGCGAGGUCAGUUAUCAGACAUUGAAGAGCAAGUUGGUGGACGCCCCUAUCCUAGCUUUGCCUGACAGGGUAAGCGUUUCACAGUUUUUACGGAUGCUUCACGAAUUGGUCUUGGCUGUGUGUUGAUGCAGGAAGGCAGAGUGAUUGCUUAUGGCUCAAGGCAGUUGAGGAAGCAUGAGGGAAAUUAUCCAACUCAUUAUCUUGAAUUGGCCGCGGUGGUUUUUGCUCUAAAGUCGUGGAGGCAUUAUCUUUAUGGCGAGGCUUGUGCAUUUACACCGAUCAUAAAAGUCUCAAGUAUAUUUUCACUCAGAAUGAGCUGAAUUUGAGGCAGCGUCGGUGGCUCGAAUUGAUUUAAGAUUAUGAUUUGUCCAUUCAUUAUCACCCGGGGAAAGCAAAUGUGGUGGCUGAUGCCCUUAGCAAGUCCGGGGUUCCAAAAGUGGCCUUGAUGUUGAUCGCUGAUCUGGACCAUUUGGGGAUCGCUUUGUGCUAUGUCGGCACCGCUAGUGAGGAGACACGUUUGCUUAUUCAAUCUUCCCUCAUGGAGAGAGUGCGUGCGGCUCAGCAGCAGGAUCGUUUAUUGCAGGAAGCUCGAAAGAGGGUUGACGAUGGUAAACCCCAGGAGUUCUCCAUUGAUGAGAAUGAUUUGGUUUGUUUCAGGGGUCACCUUUGUGUGCCUCAGAAAUCAGAGGUGAAGAUGGAUAUUGUUGGGGGCCUUCGGCUUCCGAAGGUCCUCAAAAAUAUGAUUUAACAAUGUUUUUGGAGUAUAAUACAUGAACAGGUAUCUUCGGACUUGGAUCAGAACUACAACAUGAAGAAGCACAAAGAACACGAAGGUUGGCGCAGAGCCGAAGCUAUGUGCAGGAGAGCUUCGACAUGAUAGCAGAAAAGGGAACCGACUUAAAAAGGAAAAGGCUAUUCAGACCUCGAUGGGUACUAUAGGGUCAUUAGCAAAUGUAAAGGGUUUUUACAUGGGCUGCGUCCCGUGCCUAUAAAUAGGUGAACAGUAUCCCCGUACUGUUCACGCUGACUUGGCAUCUGCUUUUGCGUCACGCUUGUACUUUUGCCUUCUUUCAAGCCAAAGGUAUAUUUGUAACUUAAUGUCAUUUCUAUUUUUCCAUGUUAAUAAAAUAGAAAUGAGCUAAUAAUGAUAUAUAAAUGUUCAUGUUAUCCUUCGCAUUUCAUGUGAUUCUCAUUUUCACUAUCAUGUGCCGUAAUAAUGAAGGUAUGUCCUUCACGACCUUCGUCCGAAGAUCGUUAUAUCCCAAGGAAAAUAAUGCUUCAAAGGACGAAGGACAUUAAUCAUUUAACCUCCUUUUGUGUUGCCUUGUUCUUAAUUCAUAGCAUUUGAGAACAAGUCCACAACAGAUAUCUUGAGAGAAGCUCAUAAAACGCCUUACACCGUUCACCCUGGUGAAACCAAAAUGUACCGAGAUCUGAAGCAAAACUUCUGGUGGAAGCGAAUGAAGGUUGACGUUUCAAAGUACGUGGCCGCCUGUGAAGUAUGUGAGCGCGUGAAGGCCGAGCAUAAGAGGCCUGCUGGUUUGCUGAAGCCAUUGGAAAUUUCGGAGUGCAAGUGGGAGCAUAUCACCAUGGAUUUUGUGGUGGGCUUACCUCGUUCUCCUUGGGGCAGGGAUGCCAUUUGGGUGGUAGUGGAUCGCUUGACUAAGUCUGCGCACUUUAUUCCCAUGAAGACCACCAAUUCAGCUUUAGAGUUGGUCCCCCUGUAUAUGAAGGAAGUAGUCAGGCUCCACGGGGUACCUAAGUCCAUUGUUUCUGAUUGAGACUCCAAAUUUGUAUCCAAAUUCUGGGAGAGUCUUCAUAGUGCAUUGUGCACCAAGCUUUCUCUUAGUGUCGCUUUUCAUCCUCAGACUGAUGGUCAGUCGGAGCGAACGAUCCAAACCUUGGAAGAUAUGUUGUGUGCUUGUGUUCUGUCUUGGAAGGGUAGCUGGGAAGAUCAUCUUGCAUUGGCAGAGUUUGCUUAUAACAACAACUACUGUAGGAAACGGGUGAUGCCUAAGAGGGGGGGUGAAUUAGGACUUCUAAAACUUUUACUAAACUAGGCCACAAUUAAAUCCCUAGAGCAAAACCUAUGCAAGUAAUCAAACUAGAAUGUGCAAACUAGGUUUUGUCUAAGUGUUGCUAUCUCUACCGCAAUAGCUAAGUUUCAAUCUACACUAGAUAAGUAUGAAUACAAGAUUGAAACUUAAAUGCUUAAUGUAAAUGCGGAAACUUAAAGAGAAAAGUAGAGAAGCAAACUCUCGUGGAUGAUGCCGGUAUUUUUACCGAGGUAUCCGGAACCACGCAAGGUCCCGACUAAUCCUCGUUGGUGCCCCUACACAAAGGGAAGCCCACGCGAGGGCCAAGCAGCAUGGUUGAGUAACUCCAUAGAGAGUCGCGGGCCUUCUCCACGCACAAGUGGUGCUCCGCUUUUGGCUCCUCUCGGACGCUCCCCGCCGUCUCCACUAUCGAGCUUCCGGCCGAAACGCCGCGGGCCUCGUUCCCUCCGAUACACGAUGGCGGCCGUGACACAAACGCGGUUGUCACGGUCUCGCAAGACUCUCGCCCCACUCGGUACAAUUACAACGACUCACACAAGAGCCGAGGGUUGCGUGGUUUUACAAAACUCACUCAACUAACUAGGGUUCACCUAGAGCAAGCGCUAAAGCGGUCUAACUAACCUAAGCACUUCGCAAAGUACCUACGCUAAUCACCGAGUGAUUCUAUUAAGCACUUGGGUGUUUGAGCUCUUGGAAAUAUGCACUAUGUGUCUUGGUAUGUUGCUUGGGCUCUCACACUUGAGAAUGGCCGGUUGGGGUGGUAUUUAUAGCCUCCAAUCCCCAAACUAGCCAUUGGACAGAAAGCAGCAGCUUUCUGUCGUCGGGUGCACCGGAUAGUCCGGUGCACCACCGGACAGCCAAUGUGCAGUGUCCGGUGCACGCCACGUCAGCCGACCGUUGGCGCCUGUAGCAGUCGAAUGUUGGAUCCGACCGUUGCCGUCUGUCUAGUGCACACCGGACAGUCCGGUGCCGACUGUCCGGUGCCCCACCGGACAGACCGGUGCUACAGCCAAAGAGCGCCUGUCUGUGGCCUCUCUGCGCAGACUGUCCGGUGCCCCACCGGACAGUCUGGUCGAAUAGUCCGGUGCACACCGGACAGCGCUGUCCGGUGCGCCACUAAGCGCUGGCUGACAGCCCGCUUGUUGGAUUUCUUCGCCGAUUUCUUCGGGCUUCUUUUGUUCUUGAGUAUUGGACUUCUGUGCAUCUUUUUAUGUCUUCUUUUGAGGUGUUGCAUCCUCAUUGCCUUGGUCCAAUUCUCUUCGCAUCCUGUGAACUAUAAUUAUAAACACUAGCAAACAUAUUAGUUCACGGAUUGUGUUGUUCAUCAAACACCAAAACUCGAUUGGCCAAAUGGCCCGGGGUCCAUUUUCCUUACAAUCUCCCUCUUUUUGGUGAUUGAUGACAACACAACCAAAGCAAGCAAAUAAUACAAGUAAUUGAAUGAAAAUAUGCAAUCUACUUGCUAAGAUGCAUGAUUUUCCCCACAAUGUGAUAUUAUGGACUUAAGCCUCCCCCUAACUCCAUAAUUCACUUACUUCCUAUUUUUGGACCAAAUAACCAAAACCACUAGAAAAACCAUUUGUAGAUAUAAAAUUUUAAAUUGGUGGUGUUUGGUGUUUGAUAUAGUUUUCAUUGCUUUGGUCCCUAAACUUCUCCCCCUUUGGCAUCAACCACCGAAAAGGAAGACAUUAAAAGCAUGUAGGAAGUAAAUAAGACCUUGCCCUCAUCAAGAAUUUUAUCAAAUGAUACCACUAGAAGGAUAUUAAAUUAAACCACAUGAAUGAUACCAGUUGAAAGGAUUACUCCCCCUAAAUAAGUGUUCUCUUUAGAAAGAAGUUUCUCCCCCUUUUUAGAGAUGAAGAAAUACUCCCCCUGACAGAGAUCCUCUACUUAGGAAAAAAGCAUGUGAAAAUUAAAGGUGCAAGAGAUGAUUUGAAAAGACUAACUUCCCUUAUGCAUAGGUAACAGAAUGUGAGUUAACUACUUAUGCAUUUUUAGCAACAUGGAAGCAUAUGAUAUGAAAUAUAGUCUAAUCAAAUUUUGGAGAAGACAUGUAAAUGAUACUAGAUAUAGUCUCAAAAGAUACCAAUUGAAACUCAAUGGCGAGCUUGAGAGACAUGAGAGUUCUUGGAGAUUUUGUAGUGGAAGAUUGUUGUCUUUCUCCGGGGACCUUAUUUUCCUUACAAUGAGACUAUCACAUGAAAUAGACUUGAAAAGGUGUUAGUCUCAAGGUGUUAGAUUAUAGAGUAACCUCCCCCUAAAGGUGUGUAUACAAGUUUUGAAUACUUGUAGGAGACAUGCACUUUGAUUUGAUAUCAAGAGGGGCAAAUUAUCCAUAAUCCGAACUUUGGCACAUAUAAGUUAAAUGAUACAACUUGUAGAAAUCAAAAAAUUUCAAUUGAUGCAUCAUUUACUAUGGAGUGAUUUAAAAGCUAUGUGCCGUGCUUAAAUAAACAUUUUAAGCCAUGUAGGUUUGCUUAAGUAUAUGAAUUGAAAACAAGCAAUCCUACCAUAUGAUUUACCUAGUAUGCAUGAUUUUAAACACAAGUACAUAACAAAUAUAAUACUAGGUAAGAAAGGUAAACUAGAUACAAAGUAAAUAGAUACGCAUAUCUAAAAACAAGAAAUACAAUAAAACUAGUUACCUUAGUCAUGGGUGGGAAAUUUGGGUCCAAAAUUUUCACUAACCCACUUGGCAAUAAACUUGAUCCAAUAUGAUGUAUCCCAUGAUAUACAUCCAAAUUUGCCAAGUCUCCAAAUUUCCCGAUGACCUUCGGUUCACUCACUUCCCUUUCGGGAUCCAGACCUUCUUGGUGCUUUUCAUGGUUGAAAUUAUUUCCUUUGGCACCCAGAUGCGUUUGGCCCCUUUUCCUUUGUUGGCUUCCUUGUUGGCCUUGAUUGCUAUCACCUUUCCAUUCUUUUUCUUCUUGAUCAAGUAUGGUGUAGCAUCCUUUUUGUUCACCUUUUUGAUGUAGGUGUUGGAGAUUUUGCUUGAUGGCUUUUGCUUGAGCUUUUGCCUUUGUUUAUCCCCGGUCAUCGCCUUGCAUUGGAAAGACUUGUGGCCUUCCUUGUGGCAUAGCCUACAAAAUCACAGUUUCUCCCUCCAUAGGCUUGUUCACUCCCGCAGUGGUGUUAUCGUGUGGAGGUUGGAUUUGUUUGGCUUUGUCUUUCUUGUCAUACAAAGCCUUGCCAAGGCGAGCCACUUCUUGCUUUAAUUGUUCAUUUUCCUUUGCAACCUCAUCCGAACAUGUUUCUACAACAAUAUUCUCAACAAAGACUUGGUUGCAGGUGUUAGAAUCAUCAAGUAAAUCAAAGCAGGAAGUAGAAGCAUCUUUCUUACUAAUUUCAGGUAUUUCAACUAAAGAUGCUGCUGGGGUGCUACCAAUGUUUUCUAGCUUAGUAGUUAGCUCAUUAUUGUGUAUGCUAAGAAUUUCCAUUUUCUCUAGCAAAUUUUCAACAACUUCUUGGGAGCUAGCUAACUUAGCCUUAAGUUUUUCAUUCUUUUUAAUAAGGCUUUCAUCGGUAGCAGUGGAUGGAGCACUAGAUUCUAAUAGCUCAAUUUUAGUUGAUAGCUCACUAUUUAAGUUUGCAAAAGUUUCAAAUUUUUCUAGCAAACCUUUGUAAUCAUUUUGAGAGCUAACCAACUUAUUUUUCAAAGUUUUAAGUUGAGCUUUUUGCUUAGUGCAAACAUCCUGGAAAAAUUCUACGACUUCUGCAAGCUCAUCUAGAGAUGGCUUUCCCUCACCUUCAUCAUCACUACUACUUUCAUCACUAGAGGAUGGAAUGCUUGUGUUACCUCUUGCCAUGAGGCAUUUGUGUGACGAGCGUGAUGAGGACCGGUGGCUGCGUGUCCUUGGAGGUUCGUCUUCACUUGAAGAGUCAUCCCAAGUUCUAACACUUGUUAGCGCCUUGCCUUUGCUCCUCUCCUUUUUGGGUUCGGCCAUAGUUGGACAGCUGUCCCUGAAGUAGCCCUUCUCCCCACAUGCGAAGCAUCCUCUCUUUCUUUGCUUUUUCCUGUCAAUGUUAAAGAGAAGAUCUUCUACCUGCAGGGGCACACCCAUUAGAUUAAUCUUGCGGAUCAUCCUCAUUACCUUUCCGACGUGUCGGAUUGAUUCUUCGUCCUUGGAGGAUGAUGUGCAUGGUUGAUUAUCUUCAUCAUCAUCACUUUCUUCUUCUUCCUCUUCUUCACUUGAGGAACUUGGAGUGGGAGCCGUCUUUUUGCCCUUCCUUUCAUCACAUGCAAAAGCAUAUGGCCUUGAGGAAGUUGGCUCCUCUCCCCGACUCAUUUUUCGCGACAUCUCAAAGGCCGCGAUUUUCCCAAUCACAAUGGUCGGGGUCAUGUUGCUCAAAUCCUCCAUGUUGUGAAGGAUGGUGAUGAUGCUCCCAUAUCUUUGUUGUGGUAACAAGGAGAUAAUCUUCCUCACAAUGCCCGCGUCACCUAGCUUAUUAAUGCCAAUAGAGUUAAGCUCAUUGAUAAUUAGAUUCAAACGAGAAUACAUGUCUCUAACAAGCUCAUCAUCUUUCAUAGCAAAAGAAUUAUACUCAUUUAAGACUACGCAAUGUUUUUGCUCACGGACAUUGGAUGUGCCGUCAUGGAGCUCAUGCAAUUUUAGCCAAAUCUCAUUAGCAGUUUUCAAGGUAAAUAAUUGAUUAAAAAUAUCCAUGCUAAAAGGUUCAUACAAGCAAUUUUUGGCUCUAGCAUUUAAAUGAAUUUCAUUUUCCUCACUCGUGGUGGGUUUCUCGGGAUUCUUGAGGGGUUUCAUCCCGUCACGAGUGACUCUCCAAACACCUAGAUCAACGGCCUCUAGGUAACAAGCCAUUCUAGCACUAUAAUAUGGGAAGUUAGUGCCGUCAAAGUGUGGUGGCUUAUGGGUAUCCAUCCCUCCCUCUAAAAAGCGUCGACUCUUUUAGCGGUGAAGCUAAAGCGUUUCAAAUGAGCCAAACCGGGCUCUGAUACCACUUGUAGGAAACGGGUGACGCCUAAGAGGGGAGGGGGGUGAAUUAGGACUUCUAAACUUUUACUAAACUAGGCCACAAUUAAAUCCCUAGAGCAAAACCUAUGCAAGUAAUCAAACUAGAAUGUGCAAACUAGGUUUUGUCUAAGUGUUGCUAUCUCUACCGCAAUAGCUAAGUUUCAAUCUACACUAGAUAAGUAUGAAUACAAGAUUGAAACUUAAAUGCUUAAUGUAAAUGCGGAAACUUAAAGAGAAAAGUAGAGAAGCAAACUCUCGUGGAUGACGCCAGUAUUUUUACCAAGGUAUCCGGAACCACGCAAGGUCCCGACUAAUCCUCGUUGGUGCCCCUAUGCAAAGGGAAGCCCACACGAGGGCCAAGCACCACGGUCGAGUAACUCCGUAGAGAGCCACGGGCCUUCUCCACGCACAAGUCGUGCUCCGCUUUCGGCUCCUCUCGGACGUUCCUCGCCGUCUCCACUAUUGAGCUUCCUGCCGAAACGCCGCGGGCCUCGUUCCCUCUGAUACACGGUGGCGGCCGUGACAGAAACGCGGUUGUCACGGUCUCGCAAGAUUCUCGCCCCACUCGGUACAAUUACAACGACUCACACAAGAGCCGAGGGGUUGUGUGGUUUUACAAAACUCACUCAACUAACUAGGGUUCACCUAGAGCAAGCGCUAAAGCGGUCUAACUAACCUAAGCACUUCGCAAAGUACCUACGCUAAUCACCGAGUGAUUCUAUUAAGCACUUGGGUGUUUGAGCUCUUGGAAAUAUGCACUAUGUGUCUUGGUAUGUUGCUUGGGCUCUCACACUUGACAAUGGCCGGUUGGGGUGGUAUUUAUAACCUCCAAUCCCCAAACUAGCCGUUGGACAGAAAGCAGUAGCUUUCUUUCGUCGGGUGCACCGGACAGUCCGGUGCACCACCGGACAGCCACUGUGCAGUGUCCGGUGCACGCCACGUCAGCCGACCGUUGGCACCUGUAGCAGUCGACCGUUGGAUCCGACCGUUGCCGUCUGUCCGGUGCACACCGGGCAGUCCGGUGCCGACUGUCUGGUGCCCCACCGGACAGACCGGUGCUACAGCCAAAGAGCGCCUGUCUGUGGCCUCUCUGCGCAGACUGUCUGGUGCCCCACCGGACAGUCCGGUGCACACCGGACUGCGCUGUCCGGUGCGCCACCAGGCGCUGGCUGACAGCCCGCUUGUUGGAUUUCUUUGCCGAUUUCUUCGGGCUUCUUUUGUUCUUGAGUAUUGGACUUCUGUGCAUCUUUUUAUGUCUUCUUUUGAGGUGUUGCAUCCUCAUUGCCUUGGUCCAAUUCUCUUCGCAUCCUGUGAACUAUAAUUAUAAACACUAGCAAACAUAUUAGUUCACGGAUUGUGUUGUUCAUCAAACACCAAAACUCGAUUGGCCAAAUGGCCCAGGGUCCAUUUUCCUUACAGCUACUAGGUUAGCAUCAAGAUGACACCAUUUGAGGCUUUAUAUGGCAGGCGGUGUAUCUCCCCUCUGUGCUGGGAGACCUUGGGAUAGAGAUCCCUGGUUAGUCCUGAUUGGGUUCAACAAACUUCAGAGAAGAUUCGGGAAAUUUGUCAGAAUAUUUUGGCCGCUCAGAGCCGUCAGAAGAGUUAUGCUGAUGUGAAGAGGCGGGAUUUGGAAUUUGCAGUGGGUGACCACGUCCUUCUCAGGGUAUCACCCACUAAAGGAGUUGUUCGGUUCGGUGUCUCCGAAAAGCUUAGCCCAAGAUAUAUUGGACCGUUCACUAUCUUUGCCCGGGUGGGCAGCUUGGCUUAUCGCUUGCAAUUGCCGGAUUCCAUGGCAAGGGUACACCCAGUUUUUCAUGUCUCUAUGCUGAGGAAGGUCUUGCGGGAUCCGGACCAUCAGAUUGAGAUGGAACCAAUUGUGGUGCAGCAGGAUCUGACUUUGGAGUGUCGUCCGGUGUGUAUCUUGGAAUCCUCGAAGCGUGUUUUGAGGAAGAGAUCAAUUAAGUAUGUCAAGGUCUUAUGGACUAAUCAGUCUGAGCGCGAGGCUACGUGGGAACUUGAGGAGCUGAUGCGGCAGAAAUAUCUGGAACUUUUUGUUGUGGGUAAGUGUUGUUGAUUCAUUAAUUUUUCCUUUUGUCGUUCCGAUAGAAGCGUCAGAAUUCGAGCUCGAAUUCUUUUUAAGGGGGUAGAGUGUGAUACCCGGUUUGCAAAGAGAAGUGGAGGUUAUUCCUUUUGUUCUUUUUCCUCAUUCGGGUGAUGCGCUUUGGGAAUUUGGAAUUUGUGGAAAACAUUCACCUAUAAGACAGUAGAAUUUCUUUGGUUAGUUGCUUGUGACGGGGUCGGGAGCUGUCAUGUGGGUGAGUUGGGCCUUGAACCUUGAUCCGGCCCAUUAGUCUCCCCUUAACCCUAGCCGCCCUCCCCCUAAUCCCCCUUUGUGCAGCCACCCCCCCAUUUCCCCUAGGCCUUGGCCGCCGCCCCCUCCCCUCUCUCAUCUUCUUCCUCCUCAAACCCUUGCAGCCAUCACCACCCAAAACCCUAGCCGCCCCCCCCCCAUUUUCUCCUCCCCCCUCCAAGGUGCAGCACUCCCGCGCGGUUCUCCGUCGUGUGGCUGCGAUCUCAAUUGGAGUUUGGAGGGAGGAAGAAGGAAGAAGGAAGGGAACAACCCAAGGUGAAUUUGUGUUUAACUUUUGUUGUUUUUGUGCUGCAAUCAAUUGGAUUAUGUGUUUAUCUUUGCGAAUCAGUAGAUGUGCUGUCCAGGAAUUUUGUGAGUGGGUGAACAGCAGUAGUUUUAGGGAUUUCUGGGCAUUUUCGUGGGUUAAUUAGUGGGAAUCAGUGGGAUAAUCAUGUAGAGCUUUGUCAUACCUUUCCAACGAGUACUUAUGCGCUCGAUUUGGAGUUAUAAUUCAGGAGAUAUCGUUGUUUGAAUCCGGGUAUGUUGCUGUCCAAAAAAAAACAGAUUUUUCAGGUGGGUGAACAACAGUAGUAUAGCAGUUUUUAGGAACUUUUCGUGGGUAAUUAGUGAUAACCAGUAUGAUAAUAAUAUAGGGCUUUGUCUUAUCUUUCCAAUGAGUACUUAUGCGCUUGAUUUGGAAUUAUAUUUUAAAAGAUAUCGCUGUUUGAAUCCGGGUAUGUCGCUGUCCAAAAGAGAAAAAAAAACAGAUUACAGAGUUUAUCUUGUGGACUGUUUUGGACUAAUUAGAUGUUGGAAUUUAAUUAUAAAUUGUAUACAAAACUUGUGGGGAAUUUUAUUUAAAUGCCUCUGGAGUUUUUGUUUGUUACCACUGCUGUCAUAAUUUUAGGGUUAUGAAAUUAUUAAGCAGCGCCGCUGCAGUUUGGUGGGUGUGGGGAGAGUUGUUACCCGCGGCGGGGUUUGAGAUUGUGCGUAGGUGCGGCAUCGUUUAUGAGUCUUAUUAUGUGAAACUGGUGCACUAAGUGUGUGUCAAAAACAGGUGGUGGACUUCCGGAUCGUACUUAGGGAUUUGCCCAAACUUCCGGUGAAGGCAAGUAAAACAGUGAUGGUUAUUCCGUCUGUUGAUUGAAGAGUCAUAUACUUGAUUAUGUUUAUGCUAUUUGUGUUCGUAUUCAUAUUCCUAAUUGGGUACCGUCGUUUGAAGUUAUUCAUGUUUUAUUGAUUAUACAUGUGGAGGGUGUGGUUUGAUCAUGUUAUCCAUGUGGUUUAUUAUGUGAAAUGGGUGGAAGUAUAUGUCUAGCACAUUUUAUUUGGGAAGAACUCAUGUUGUUGACAUGCAUAAUGCAUUCAUCAUCCAUUGCAUUGAAGUUUCGUCGUGAUCUUAUGGUCCGACCGUACCGGUACAAUGAGCAUCAUAUGUUGCCCGAGAAGGGGUAUGAUGCAGCUUCAUAUCCUUAGAGGUAUGAAGGCAGAAGUCAUACUGCAUCUGUAGCCAUGUGCAUUCAUGGGGGAAGUGUGGAACCUAUUAUGGUGAUGUGGAUAAUGUGGAUCUUUACUUUGUGAUUCAUCUUGGCAUUAAGUAAUUGAUUACUUGCUUACUUGCUGCAAAUUAAUAUUUAAGAAAGAAGUUGGGAACCACGUGGUUGCUUAUGCACGGUUGGUUUACAUUGUCUAACUGUUGUUUGCUCUUUUUUACUUGGUGAGAUGUGUCAUCUCACUCUUGCAUUGUCUGAUGCAGGCACAUGAUCUUUGCAUUGGGAAAGAAGGGAUGUAGCAGCACGGCCACCACACCUUUAAAUAAAGGAACCACUGCUUAAUAAUGAUAUUAAACAGGGAGGGUCAAGUCUAGGGGAUUAUUACAUUCUAAUCUUUUAUUGUAGUUGAACUGUUUUGUUUGGUGGGCUGAGUUGUCUAUCUUUUGUCUGGUCAUGAAUGUUCAUUUCUACUGUUGCAUUUCGAUUAUACUAUGUCAAUUAUCUUUCUUUUAUAUCCUAUAUAAACUCUAUGUUUCCCUUGUUAUGCUACUUUCAAGGGAGGUGCUGCCGGAUUCUGCAAUACUUUCUUUCUCUAUGUGUUGCAUAAGUUUUGUAGGAAGGGUUUUUGGUAACAUUCAUUGUGUGCGAUCACUAGGGUGUUACAACUACGCCAAAAGACUGCAUUACCCCUAAUAAUGGAGAGUGGGGCAGCCUGAUAGAGGCACACACAUAUCCAUUUUGGCGCCAACACUUAGCUGAAAUCAAAUUUGCACAUGAUCAAUUUGGCGCCAACAUUUUGAGCUAAAAUCAAAUUUGCACACGAUCGAUUUGGCGCCAAUAGUUUGGUGCAUUCACAGAAACAUCACAAUGCAGAAAUAUCUCAAAUCAAAUUACAAUUAUCAAAUAGUUUGGUGCAUUCACAGAAGCAACACAAAUAUACAUACCAUAAGACAACACAAUUCAAUAACACACCAUAGCAAAGUUCAUGAAGUUCAAAUACAUUUUUAUUCCAAAACAUGUAACCUAUGCUCUUGGAAACAAUCCGUUUGCGAUCCAAUCACGGAACUCAUUCAUAUUUUCAUCUUCUUCCCCUUCACGUGCAGUACUUGUACCAAGCUGUGAAGAAGAUGCUCCAAAGAGUGGCACGUAGUUCUCAUCAUGGUCACACAAAUUGAAGUCAUCAUCUGACAUAGAACUCUCUCUAAAAAAGUUAUGAAGAGUCAUGCAAGCAAUAAUUAUUUGGCUUUGUUUUGGCAUUGGGUAACCUGGAAAUUGCAGCAAAAUCCUCCACUUCAUUUUUAGGAUUCCAAAAGACCUCUCGAUGACAUUUCUAAGUGAAGAGUGGGUGUAAUUGAAGAGUUCUUUUUUACCUCUAGGCAUUGGACCUUGCCUGAAUUUUGGAAGAUGAUAUUUUUGUACCUUUGUAAGGUGCAAGGUAACCUGGCCGAUUAGGAUAGCCUGAGUCCACAAGGUAGAACUUACCUUGACAACAUAACAGAAUGGGUUAAUCACACAUACAAGUAAAAGAUUGAAAUAAUAGAACAAAUCAAAUGUUAUAACCUUGAAGUGGAUGAGAGAACUUAUGUCCAUACUUGUUAAUUGCAUCCUUGAAUACCCUGAUGUCAUGAAUCGACCCAGGCCAACCCACCACGACAAAAGUAAACCUCAUAUCGAAAUCACAAACGGCCAACACAUUUUGACUUGUGUAACCAUGUCUUCCAGUAUGUUGAACUGUCUCUGUUGUUGGAACUACCACAGGUAUAUGAGUCCCAUAAAUUGCUCCAAUACAUUUAUCAAAGAACAGAGAAAACCUUGGAGAUUGUAGCCUUUGAUGUAUAGUACCAAAUUCAAGGUCUUUUGGCUUAAUAAUAUCUGCUGCAAGUUUGUUGACACUUAACAAUACUUCAUUAAACUUCUUACUACGUGUAUAUGUUGAUCUACAAAAACAAUUUUCAGCUUGUCUCAUACUUUGAGGGGCACCACAUAUCCAUAAAAAUUGACCUAGUGCCUUAAUUGAUGACAUUCUCGUAGUUGAUUUCAAACCAUAUGACUCCACAAGCACAUUAUGCAAUUUAUGAAACACAUCAUUGUGCAUUCUAAACAUGUUGAAGCAUGUUGUCCUAUAACCUAGGGAUGUCAUAACCCAUUCGAAACUAGACUCAACAUGUUUUCUAUAAUCUGCUUUAUUCAUGUAGGUGUCAUAGUGUAACAUACCAAGGAUCAUACCCACCGUAGCAUAUUUGUUGUCAAUUUGUUCACAACUCAUCAAAUACUAUUCUAGGUCAUCAUCAUUUGAAUCUAAUUCUGAUUCCUGUAUACACAAAUAGAGAACAACAAUGAGACUUCAAAUUGGACAGUUGUGAACAUGUAACAGCAAUAAACAGUCGUGUAGAUGGAAAAUAGAACAACAAUAAACAGAAAUAUAACAUCAAUAAAGUGCCUGACUGCCUGUGCAGAUGGAAAUUAGGCAUAGGCACACACAUAAGUUAUUAAUUUCUGAAAUAAUUGCUUGAAGUCAUACAAGUUCUGGACUUCUAAUAAAUCUCAAACAUAAAACAUAACAUGUCCACAUAGGCACACACAUAUAUGAAAUACUACAUUACAUAUUAGUAGCCACUCAAUACUAAUAUGUCCACUUUAGCCACUAAACUCUUUGCACCAUCUCUUCAACCAAACAACCCUUCCUUCAUCUAUUCUAAAGUUUGUGAAAAUUGUCCGGUUGUACUUUCUCUCAAACAAAUUAGUAGCCACCCAAUACUCCUCUAAAACUUUUGAUAUUCCACAGUCCACAACUAGUUGCAAACACCUUUUGAUUUCUGUUGUUUCAUUUUCCUUAUCCACUGAACAAUGGCUCCUCUUUUGUUCAACCUUUGCUUUUGAUAUUUCAGCUAAUGUUUCCUUGUUAGAGGACCGAUUGUGUUCCAUACUGUCUAAAAAGCUUCUCAUCAUGUUAAACAUCGAACUUUUGCUCUUUUUCGGUGGACUAGAUGUUGUGUCACGUGCCGCUGCUAGGCCUUUUGCGAGUACUGCUUCUCAUUGGGCUAUUGAGAAUACCAUCAUCAUCUCCUUCCUCAUUCACAUCAUCUGCUUCAAUUGGAUAAUUAGCCUCCCCCGGAAUGCAUGACGAAUGUCCAUCUACAACAUAACCAUGAAACAUCUCCCGUAGGUAGUCUAGGUAAUAUGGUAAGCAUGUUCAGAGCUUCUUACACUCUGGUUUCCUCUGAAAACACAACAUCCACAAACAUAAAAUCAGAUCUGAAGUAUGACAUAUGAAAUGUAACAGAAUAACACACCCUACCUCUAUAUGUUUCUUCCACCAGUUGUCUGGUGCGGAGAUUGUAACAUCUACGUUCCUACCUAAACAUGUUUCUCCUUGUGACCACACAUGAAAAGUGUAUAAAGUCUUGCAUUGCGCCCACCUAUUUUUGAGUUGCUUGGUAGAGUGCCAUAGACCACACUUUUCUAAGAACUUUUGAGCAAUUAUCUUGUAACCCCUGUUUGACAUUGUACCAUUAGGGCAAUUACGAGCCCUAAUUUGUUUGACAGAUAGUUCACAGAACAUGUAAAUGUUUGCUUCUAUUCAAUUGGCCUUGUCAUAGGUUUGUAGUAAAAUAAAAAUUAUAAAAAACAUGAAUUACUAUAACAUGUAGUUGCUGGACAAAUAUACUAACUUGUAAUCUGCCAUCAUUUGCACUCUAUCAGUAAACUGCCUAACUUGUAAACAAAUAUAACAUGUAUACAAGAUUCUACAUGCCUAACUUGUAAAAUAAUAUCAGGAUAUAACUUACAAAGAAAUUCUACAUCAUGUAUACAAGAUUCUACAAAGUGGCUAUGGUAGUAAAAUGUCUUACUUCUAAACUAAUAUAACUUGUAAAUACACAAAAUUUGUCCAUCAUGUGCACACUAUAGAGCAUACAAUCCAGGAUUUCAUAUUACUAUAACAUGUAGUUGUUGGACAAAAAACAAAAUGAACUAUACAAUAUUACCAUGCUUGAGAUGCUAUCAUCGUUAUCCUCAUCCGUAUCGGGCCCAAAAACUUCAUCUCGAGUCCUUGCUCUGCCACGCCAUACAACAUUUGUCUCGAGUCCUUGAUCCCUAGAGCCGAUAAAUUGAUGGCCACCUCCUAUCCCUGGUGUGGUGCCUUCAGAACUAGUUCUAAGUCCACUCUUUGUACUGGUUCCACCUCCAAAGUUAAGCGACCAUGCAUGCCCACUAGUGGGUCUUGCACUGCCAUGGCAAGACUGGCCUGUACCAGUGGUCAAUCUAGGUGGAUGAAAGGAGGCAUGCUGAGUCUACUUGCUGGGGGCAAAGGGGGGAACCCCUUCUCAGGUAACCCAGCAUCGGGUUGGAUUAAUCCCGAGUAGGAACCAAGGUAGGGAAAUGUGUCAUCCUGAGAGUUGAGGUUAGUAUUUUCCACGACCUUUCCCAUUGAGGAUGAUCUACGAACAAACAAAGAGUGAAAGAGGGGUAGUUCUUCGGCAUUUUCGUCGUUUGCAGAAGAUGACCCCUGAGAGAAAAAAUCACAGAAGGCAUCUCCCUGGUUUUCCAUUGAUGGAAAGGGAAGGUUGGAAUAAGGCACAUCGACGGAUCUGUUCACGAUAAAGAAAUCACAAAAGGUUGAAGAAAUCACGAAAGGUUGAAGAAAUCACGGAUCUAUUCGUGGCUUGAGCUGUUCACGGGCUGACCUCGACAGAUCUAGCGGACAUACUCGACGGAUCUGUUUGCGGGCUGACCUCAAUGGCUGGUUUGCGGCGGGUCUGCACGAUGGCCGCGGUAGACUAACCUCGACGGAGGAGAAGAAGGGACAGGGAUAGGAGACAAGAGCAGGGACAGGGGAUCUAUUGCGGCGGCAUGAGCAGGGAGAGGUGAAUGAGACAAGGUGAACGAGACAAGGGAGACGAGAGCAGGGACAGGGGAGGGCAAGGGUUGGAAAAUUCACUUUUAGUCCGCCCUUUGUUGACUAGGGGACUAAUCUUUAGUCACCCCAUUUUAGUCACCUUGUCUGGUUUUUUAGUGACUAAAUUUUAGUCACUAAACUUUAGUCACUCGGAACCAAACGGGUGCUAAGUUCUACUCUGUUCCUUUUCCUGUUACGAACAUCAUCAUAUAAUGAUGAGAUGUAGAAGAUAGCAAACAAUAAUUUAAAUUAUCUUGUUUAUAUUAUUUCGUGCAUUGUACCUACUUUGUUCUAUUUUCAUACAUUCAUAGGGACAUAACGUAUAAGGGAGGGUUGGAUUAGACAACUUAAAAUAUACUUUUCAAGCUAGAUGCAAAAAAUUAAAUCAUCUAAAAUGGAGAUCCACAAAUGCCACAAAGAUGGGACAUACAACCUAGGAUUUGUAGAUCCCAUAGUGAUUAAUAAGAAUAAUAUAAUGUGAUAUCAAAAUGAUGCAUUGAAGAGAAUACUUACGUUCUUGUCGAUGCAACAUUGCAUAUAAUACAUACUUAUACCUUACAACUUCAAGUAAUUCAUAUUGUCUUGUUCCCUAAACCUUUUCCUAUCUAAAUACCCUAUCUAAUUUGCUAGCCCAGUUUACAAUUAUUCUGCUUACAUUGUCAUGAUGGAACAUGACAUCAUGCAUGUGGUAGAAUUGAUGAGGAAGCUAGUUUCAAAAUACCACAAAUGAAAUACUUUCAUAUUCGGUGCAUGGAUUAUCUUAUGAAAAAAUAAUGACAUCCUAAAAUAAAAACUUAAGCUUAAACUGUACUUUCUAGUAUGUAUGGAUCUGCACAUCUUACAUGUUGUUUGCCAAUAGUACUCAAUAACCUAUUUUCCUUUUUGUGGAUACUAUGUUUGUGAAUUCAAUAACUCACUCGUAGGUAAUAAGAUAGUGGUAAAGGAUAGUAUCGUAUUUAUGAAAACACGCAAUCCAUAUUUUCUGCAAAUAAUACUAUGUUCAAUGGUUCUGAUUUCCUAUAUCGAUUAGCUCUCAAAUGAUAGCUAAUAAAAAUGAAGAAAGAACUCAUCAUGUUGGAUGCGAUCGUGGGCAAUUCAAAAAACACUUAUAGAUUUCUUGUAUAACUAGGUUUUAUCCAAAGAUGGAGAGUUGCACUAGGGUGGAAGUAUUCCAUCAAAAUUCUAAGUUUUAUGAAUGGAAAUAUAUAAUAUAUAAUAACAGACACAAUACUUGUCCUUAUAUUUAUUUUAUAUAUUUUAAAUAAAAAGGCCAAAAAUGUAUCCAUUUUACAAUAUGUAUAUAUUACUAUUAAUACAUAAUGCUUUUAAUAUAUAUAUAUAAUUCCAUCGAAUAUACAAAUUUGAAUAUAUAUUAAUAGACGAUGAAGCUCACCUCAGAAAAUAUGAACAUCAAAUUCAACUUGUACGUAGACAAACGAAAAAGAUAAACUUGUUAGUGGGUUUUUGUCUUUUCAUUUCUCCACCUAUAAGUUAAUUUGAAGUUUAUAUUUUGUGAGGUGACUAAGGACAUCUAACAAUUGUUGCAAAAGUAUGUUAAAUUUCUUUUUAUCAUUACUUCACUUUUAGUUUUGUAGUGUUGAAGUUAUUAUCUUAUCUCAAUCAAAACAAUUAUGAAAAUUAUAAUAUAUUUUCUUCAUUAAGUUAUGGCAUUAGCUACUAACCAACAAAAUUUGAACCGAAAACUCACUCAGGUUGUACAUACAGAAAUUACUGAAAACCGCAAUUAUGAUGCAUUGAAGAGAAUGAUGCUUUGAAGAAUUAUAAUAAUAUAAUGUGAUAUCAAAAUGAUGCAUUGAAGAGAAUACUUAUGUUCUUGUCAAUGCAACAUUGCAUAUAAUACAUAAUUAAACCUUAAAACUUCAAGUAAUGUCUAUUCUCUUGUUCCCUAAACCUUUUCCUAUCUAAAUCCCGAUCUUAUUUGAUAGCCCAGUUUACAAUUAUUCUGCUUACAUUGGAUAAACUCCUUAUAAUCAUGAUGGAACAUGACAUCAUGCAUGUGGUAGACUCAAUGAGGAAGCUAAUCUCAAAAUACCAUAAACGAAAUACUUUCAUAUUCGGGACAUGGAUUAUCUUAUGAAAAAAUAAUGACAUCCUAAAAUAAAAACUUAAGCUCAAACUAUACUUUCUAGUAUGUAUGGCAAACACAUCUUACAUGUUGUUUGCCAAUAGUACUCAAUAACCAUUUUUCCUUUUUGUGGAUACUAUGUUUGUGAAUUCAAUCACACAUUCUUAGGUAAUAAGAUAGUGGUAAAGGAUACUAAAUUAUUUAUGAAAACACGCAAUCCAUAUUUUCUACCAAUAAUACUAUGUUCAAUGGUUUUGAUUUCUUAUAUCAAUUAGCUAUCAAAUGAUAGCUAAUAAAAAUGAAGAAAGAACUCAUCAUGUUAGAUCGAUCGUGGGCAAAUCAAAAAAGACUUAUAGGUUUCUUGUAUAACUAGGGUUUAUCCAAAGACGGAGAAUUGCACUAUGGUGGAAGUAUUUCAUCAAAAUUCUUAGUUUUAUGAAGUGAAAAUAUAUAAUAUUUAAUAGCAGACACAAUACUUUUCUUUAUAUUUAUUUUAUAGAUUUUUAAAUAAAAGGCCCAAACAAUGUAUAAAUUUUACAAUAUGUACAUAUUGCUAUUAAUAAAUGUUGGGGCCUUCGUCUUUCGAAGGUCGUCAAAAACAUGAUUUAACAAUGUUUCCCAAGUGUAAUAUAUGUACAGGUACCUUCGGACUCGGGUUAAAACUGUACACGAUAUGGAAAGCAUGGUCGAGACGAAGGUUGAUGCAGCUCCAAAGCUAUGCGCAAGGGAGCUUCGGCUCAGCAGAGGAAAAAGGAACCGACUUAAAAGGGAAAAGGCUAUCUAGUCCUCGUUGGGUUGUCCUUAAGCCAAUAGUAAAUAUAAAGGACAUGAAUGUAAUUUUACACAGGCUGUGCCCUGUGCCUAUAAAUAGAUGAACAGUACCCCUGUACUGUUCAAGCUGACUUGUACUCGCUCGUGCGUCACGUUUGUACCUUGGCCUUCUGUCAAGCCGAAGGUACAAAUGUAAUUCAAUAUUAUUCUUAUUCAUCCAUGAUUAUAUAAUAAGUACAUAUAAAUGAUGUUAUAUGAUUAUUCAUGUUUUUUCUGAUGUUUUGUAUGCUUCGUCUUUCAUCGAUGUAAACUGUGAUGAUGAAGGUAUGUCCUUCAUGACCUUCGUCCGAAGAUCGUUGUAUCCUAAAGGAAAUAAUGCUUCGAAGGACGAAGGCCAUUAACCAUUAACUUGUUUUUAUGUUGCCUUGUUCUUAAUUCAUAGCAUUUGAGAACAAGUCCCCAACAUUGGAGCCCACCUCCGGUGUACUCACUUACACAAUCUUCGGCAAAGCAUCAACCUUCGUCAUGCCGCCAAAGAAGAUAACAGCGCCAGGGGCUGCAUUGCAGCCAAUGGACACAAACCAGGAGACUCUCUAUCUCAGAGAGGCCAGAAGCCAAAAGAGAAAGGCCACCAGUCCAACACUUCAGGAGGAGGAGUUGGACCAGGAGAUCAGGGACAUGGAGAUCAUUCAUCAGCAGGUGCAAAGGAAAAAGGAGAAGAUGGCUCGGUUGGCCGAUCUUCAAAGGAAGAUCGAUGAAUCUACUGAGGAAGUGCGUCAUCUUACCUAAGAUGAUCAUGACCGAAGGCCUCAACACAGGGACCUUCGUUAAGAAGGCUCAUUCAAUGAAGAAGAAUGGUACGAUGAUUUUAAUCAUGGUACUUUUACCUUUGAUGAUGCUUCUCCCCUGGCAGCAGAAUUAUAGGCUAUCCCAUGGCCACAAUCCUACAAGCCACCCCAGCUACACAUGUACGAUGGGCACUCGGACCCAAAGCAAUUCUUGAUGAGCUAUGAGGCAACAAUAUCCUCAUAUGGAGGCAACACAACUGUCAUGGCAAAGUCCUUCGUCAUGGCAGUCCGAAACGUGGCCCAGACAUGGUAUUCUUCUCUUCGGCCAGGGACAAUCAUGUCAUAGCAGAAGCUCAAGGACAUGCUGGUUACCAGUUUUCCAGGCUUUCAGACAAAGCCAGUCACAGCUCAGGCCUUGUUCCAGUGCACACAAGACCAUGAGGAAUACCUUCAGGCGUAUGUCCGAAGGUUCUUGCGACUGAGAGCACAAGCGCCCAUAGUGCCCAAGGAAAUUGUCAUUGAGGCCAUGAUCAAGGGUAUUCGGCCAGGACCUACAUCUCAAUACUUUGCCAGGAAGCCCCCCCAAACUCUGGAGAAGCUGCUUCAGAAAAUGGAUGAGUACAUCCGGGCUGACAACGACUUCCGCCAAAGAAGGGAGGAAGCUUAUAGAUUCUCUGAGAUGACUAGGGGUUUUGGAGGAAGAAUCCACCCUAGGCAUGUUAGAUCAAUCCACAGCUCCAGUCAGAAUGAUGACAAAGGAAGCCAGCUUCAGAGGCCAUAACACACCUCACAGUCUUCGGGACAGUAGCAAAGCUCCUUCAGGCCACCAACUCCAAGGGGCAGAGGCGGCAGGGGCUUCAGAGGAAGAUAUGGGGAUUAGCACAGGAAAAUUUAUUGCUUAUUCUGUGGUGAGGACAAGGGACACACUACAAGAACGUGCCAAUCACUAUUCUGAAACAAAAGGAGAGCGCCGAAUGCGAAGCUCGGCAGAAUCAGCCGAAGCAGGUCUUGUACACUGCUUCGUGCCACUCUCCUUACAUACCAGAAUACGUGGGCAAUCAACCUGCAGCUUCUAUUGCUUCGGCAAGCCAUUCACAGGCUUCUUGGCCUCAGCUUCCACCGCCACCACCACUGCAACCUACUUAUUCCCGAAGCCAGCAGCCAUAAGGGCGCCAACACUCCCAGCAACAACAUGACUUCAGUGAGGAGUCCGAAGCUCGUAUAGUCAAUAGUAUUGUACCAUAAUCAAAGCACAUAUACUGAGUGAUAUCCUACUUUUGAAAUGCUUCUAUGUUCUAUGCCAUUUUGCUUUUUAAUAAGGAACCAGCAAUGUAAAUUUAGUUUUAAAUUCUUGUAAUGAUUUUGCUUCUAUCAGAAUGAAAUAUAUCUUCUUCACAGAAUUAUGAAGCUCAAAAGUCGUUCUUAAAGGAAUGCAGAGCUAAAUUUGCCGAAGCUACUAAAAAAGUCGUUCUUAAGGGAGCGCAGCGUAUGUUUUAAGCUCAAAAGACGUUCCUAAGGGAAUGCAGAGCUAAAAUUAAUGAAGCUACAAAAAGUCAUUCCUAAGGGAGUGCAGUGUAAGUUUUCUGCUCAAAAGUCGUUCCAAAGGGAAUGCAGAGCCAAAUACCACCGAAAUAUAAGGCGAAGAAGUUCAAAAGUCGUUCCUAAGGGGAUGCAGAACAUAUACCGCCGAAAUAGAAGGCGAAGAAGUUCAAAAGACGUUCCGAAAGGGAUGCAGAACUUAUAUCACCGAAAUAGAAGGUGAAGAAGCUCAAAAACCGUUCCUAAGGGGAUGCAGAGCUUGUGUGUUCUAGUGUGGGCGUGCGGGUGUGUGUCUUCGACAUCCUCAUCUUUUUUGCAUCAUAUCAUCACAUCAUCUUGCAUAAACAUCACAUCAUACAUCAUAUUGCAUCAAUGAUACGAGAAUUGAAUAUGAAGCUCAUCUUUGGCAAAUGCUUCGUCAAAAUAAAAAGGUGCUAAGGCACGAAGUAAGUUUUGGGAAAUAUAGUUUUAUUAGCCUUGUCACAAGAAGGGAUCUCUUUUUACAAAGCUUGGAUAUCUUUCUUUACAAAGCAUGGAUCUUUUUCUUCACGAAGCAUGAAAAGAAGGGAAGGUGUUUUUUCGCCGAAGGCUCAAAAACGGUAUGUGUGUAAAUUUCAUGCAUCGCAAAGAAAUAAACUGCAAUAAUUUACAUAUUCAAUUCAACACUCUAAAUAUUACAUAGUUUUGUUACAAUAGAAACCUAAUCUUCCUUCAUUUGUUACAUACAUCAAGCUUUUCAAAAUGUUUAUUACAAUAAAAUCUAGUCCUCUUUAAGAAUUUUCUCUGCAACUUCAUUCAGCAAUUUUCUCGUCUUCCUUGACUUUGUUUACCAGUGAAAUUAAGAUUUUGUCUUUUUCAAGACCUUCAUUUCUCAAUUCAAUCACCUCUGAACGAAGGUUGUUCAGAGCCAUUGUAUAGCUUGCGUCUUAGAUAUUCUUUUGUGCCCUCAGGGCAUUACUGAGAAUCAAGCCCUGUAGCAAAAGAGAAGAAAGAAUUGAGCAUGACAAAUAAAGUACGUCAUUCUCAAAUUCAAAGCUAACUUCUACACCUUUAUACUGUUGUAUGCUAGGCUGUCAGCAAGAUCAUCCUUCGACAAAAUCGAAGAGCAUCUUCUAGCUUUGGAAAUCCCAUACUCUUGCCUAUCUCCCGGCAAACAGAUAUUUCUUUAUUAUCCGGGUGACAAUAUAAGAAAUCGUCAUCAUUAGUGUCUGGCUUCCAGAGUUUCUUCUUCAGACAGUUUUUUUUCGUGAAGUGUGUCGAAUGAUGUAGUCAACAUUUUCGAUUAGAGCUUUUGUGAGCAGGAGUCUCGAUCUUUUCAGGUGCAAUCUAUUCUGCCGUCUUUUCCUUAGGCGCGGCAGGCUUCACCGCGGCUGGCGCUGAAGGCCCAGCUUCGGCCUCAGCCUGAGUUUUUGUAGCUUCGACUUCUGCUUGCCCAGUUUCGGCUUCGGUUUGCGCUAUGGCAGCUUCAGCAAUUUUCUUUAUAGGUGCAGGACUCAAGGCCUUUGUACUCUCCAGCAUAGCAUCCAGCACAUUAGCCAUCCUCCUCCUCUUGGGAGUUGCGACAGAAGCCUUUUGCACCUUCGACAGUUUUGUCUCUGUCAGAGGGCUUAGAAUUCUUGGCACUUUCAUUAUUUCUUCAAUGUUUGACUCUUUAGCCUUAUCAACCUUAGCCUCGACUCGCUCGGCUAUGGGUACCUUCGGCGCUACGGUCGCCUCUUCAGUGCUCUGUGCAAUCAGAGCAGUUUGUGUUGCUUCGGCUGCUGAGGAGGACCCUGUUCCGAAUUUAGGCACUACGGCCGGUUCAAUAUAACGCGACCGGUGGGUCAGAACCUUCACCCUUUUGCUCUUCGGCACAGGCUCAGCUAGGAUGACCAAAGCAGCAAUCUUCCUCUUUUUCUCUUGCCCUCGCAGCGGGUACCGAUAAUCGGGGUAUAUGAAGUCGAUUGCAUCAAAACCCUGUUCAGUCUUUUCUUCCCCCAACCUCCGAAGGCUGCGAACAGAGCAUUAUCUUCGGCUUGGAGUAAGCUCCAAGAAGCUCAUCGCUGGUAGCUUCAAUACACUUCAGCCAAUCGUCGUUUGGCUCAUCAAACUUCUCCCUAAUUCUGAAUGUAUAUUUCAGUCGGACCAGACCACCAUCACUAGAAUCAGUGGUGGUCUCCUUUGGCAUUUCCCAGAUUUUCACAAGCGGCCAUACCCUGAAGGAUAUAUGUUCUUGAAUCAAAUCUCUUAUGCCAAUGAAGGAGCAAACAGUGCUGAAAGCCCUCUGACACGCUUCGACAGCAUCAUCAAUUUCCACCUUCGACCUUCGAAGGCCAAAGCGUGACCAGAUGGGGCGCUGGAUGAUAUCUUUGUUGUCUUCCCUUGCCUUUAAAUCAUUCUUCACAUAAAACCAUUCCUCUAUCCAGGCUCCGGGCCAUCUCUUCCGGAAUGUUGGCACCAGGUGGCUUGCGUUGGGGCGAGCGAUAAAUCCAUAACAACCGAAGUUGUUGUGGUACUGUUCCUUACCAGUGGCCUUCAUCUCAUAUAAAAGUUCGUGCAUACUGCAGAAGCACUUCGCGCUUGGCUCUAGCCCUUGACUCCUUACUGCCCAGACAAAAAUCCCCAUCCUCAUUAUAGCUUCGAGGGUGAUGUGAUGAAGGAAGAUCUGGAAUAUCUUCAGCACUUCAACAACAAACUUGCUUAAAGGGAACCGAAGACCAGCCUUAAAAAAGCUUCGGUAGAUAACAACUUCAUUCUCCUCAGGGACAGGGGCCGUGUUGUCCCCGCCAACUCUCAUGAUAGAUAUGUCGCGAAAGUACCUUCCUCUCAUAUUGUCAAGAUGACUCUGUUUAACAAUCGAUUUCCCGAAGACAGUAUGGCUUGGUCGCCACGGUCGAUCUUCGGAAUCUUCGUCUCCACUCUCCACAUCAUAACUAUCACUGUCAUCAGUAUCUUCAAACAAAUCUUCUAGAAUCUCUUUAGUAAUCUUCUCUGUGUUUGUUCUUGACAUAGAUUCAACAAACCCGACGAUAAAAGGAUCCGCGGUUUUCUAUUCUUCAAAUAACUUCGUCUCCUCAGUGAGCUUCGUUUCUGCAGUCAUUUUCUUUUCCUCCAUCAUCUUCUCCCCAGACAUGGUGAAACACAUCCUUAAACAGAAGCUCGAAAAGCUUGAAACUUAGGCGAGACCUAGUGAGCAAGAGCUAAAAAGUUUGAGGAAAUCACGCAAAUAGUGGAAAUGUCGUAUCAAAUGUUGCCGCUAUGGUUUAUAUUUAUACGCCUAGUGCAUUGCAACUUGGUGGGCCCUGUCUGUCAUUGACUAUUGCUAUUCUAGCAAAAGGAAGGUGUUUUUUUGGACCUUUGGCUUAAGGCCUUCGUCCAUGUCACAGUCUGAAUUCGUUAUUUUAACAAAUUAAUACUGCGAGGGGCUACUGUUGGGGGCCUUUGUCUUCCGAAGGUCCUCAAAACAUGAUUUAACAAUGUUUCCCAAGUGUAAUAUAUGUACAGGUACCUUCGGACUCGGGUUAAAACCGUACACGAUAUGGAAAGCAUGGUCGAGACGAAGGUUGAUGCAGCUCCGAAGCUACGCGCAAGGGAGCUUCGGCUCAGCAGCGGAAAAAGGAACCGACUUAAAAGAGAAAAGGCUAUCUAGUCCUCGUUGGGUUGUCCUUAAGCCAACAGUAAAUAUAAAGGACAUGAAUGUAAUUUUACACAGGCUGCGCCCUGUGCCUAUAAAUAGAUGAACAAUACCCCCGUACUGUUCACGCUGACUUGUACUCGCUCGUGCGUCACGCUUGUACCUUGGCCUUCUGUCCAGCCGAAGGUACAAAUGUAAUUCAAUAUUGUUCUUAUUCAUCCAUGAUUAUAUAAUAAGGACAUAUAAAUGAUGUUAUAUGAUUAUUCAUUUUGUUUCUCAUGUUUUAUAUGCUUCGUCUUUCAUCAAUGUAAACUGUGAUGAUGAAGUUAUGUCCUUCAUGACUUUCGUUCGAAGAUCAUUGUAUCCUAAAGGAAAUAAUGCUUCGAAGGACGAAGUCCAUUAACCAUUAACUUGUUUUUAUGUUGCCUUGUUCUUAAUUCAUAGAAUUUGAGAACAAGUCCCCAACAAUAAAUAAUGCUUUUAAUAUAUAUAUAAUUCCAUCAAAUAUACAAAUUUGAAUAUAUAUUAAUGGACGAUGAAGCUCACUGUAACACCCCGUGGUCCACAAACACCCCGGAAUGCUACUAAACAACACUUCUGACAUCUAUAUAUAAAAUUUCGGCAGCAUCCCCUUUGCAAAUUGCAUAAAUGAGGGGGCAAUAGUGUAUAAACUUAUAUCAUGACAAAAACAUACUAAGUAUUAUUAAUUGGCUAGCAAAGAGAAGUUAAACAUACGACAUGAUCUGAAUUAACUAGUGCGCACGACUAUUUAAAAAAAACAAACUUCCUUUGACAAUAAGUUCUAAUUAAAUCAUGGCUGCGCCUGGGCAGCGUUAUUGUGAGAGUGAAAGUGGACGUGCUGCUACUCCCCUCAUUCCCAGCAUGUAUAAAGUACCUGCAUUGAGUAAUGCAAGAGUGAGAUGACACAUUUCAGCAAGUAAAAUAAUAUCAAACUGUUUAACCACAUAAGAACAUUGUUUUACCACCACUUGAUUCCACAAACUUCUUAUUACGAAGGUGCAACACGUAUACAACGUACAACACACCUAGUCACCACACCUCACAGGUGGAAACCACAAUAGUAACAUAGUAAUGUCACACUUCAUAUAUGCCUCAUGAGUGCAAAUGUCUGCAAAUGCAAGGAUGACUUCUGCCUUCAUACCUCUAAGGAUAUGAAGCCACAUCGUACCCCUCCUCGGGCAAGGUACGAUGUUAAAAAUGUACCGGUACGGUCGGACCAUAAGAUCGCGACAUAACUUUAAAAUGCAAGAUGGAUGAUGCGAUGUGCAUGUCAUGCCUACAACACUUCAUAUAACGUGAUUCAAAAAGAUACUUCAACUUCAUCCAAGAUGGGAAUCAACCACAUAUAUCAUUACCAAAUUAUGAUCAUCCAUAAUAUUAGACAAUUGAGAAUUAAUACUUCCAAACAAAUAAACUUCAUCAUAGAAUUCAAUGAUUAACAUAAUUAAAACUUAUGCAUACUCAAUGACAGGGAUUAGGAUGCAACCCAAACGGUAGCAACCACCACUGUAUUUACUUGCCUUUACCGUGAGUUCGGGCAAAUCCCUAAGUACGAUCCGGAAGUCCACCACCUGUUUUUGACACACAACUUAGUGCACCAAUUUCACAUAAUCAGGCUCAUAAACGAUGCCGCACCUACGCAUAAACUCAAACCCCACCGCGGGUUACAUCUCUCCCCACUCCCACCAAACUGCAGUGGCGCUGCUUAAUAAUUUCAUAACUUUAAAAUUAUGACAGCAGUGGUAACAAACAAAAACUCCAGAGGCAUCUACAUAAAAUUCCCCACAAGUUUUGUAUACAAUUUAUAAUUAAAUUCUAACAUCUAAUUAGCCCAAAACAGUCCACAAUAUGAACCCUGUAAUCUGUUUUUUUUUUGUCUUUUGGACAGCGACAUACCCGGAUUCAAACAGCGAUAUCUUUUAAAAUAUAAUUCCAAAUCAAGCGCAUAAGUACUCAUUGGAAAGAUAAGACAAAUCCCUACAUGAUUAUCAUACUGGUUAACACUAAUUACCCACGAAAAAAUCCCAGAAACUGCUAAUACUACUGCUGUUCACCCACCUGAAAAAUCUGUUUUUUUGGACAGCAACAUAACCGGAUUCAAACAACGAUAUCUCCUAAAUUAUAACUCCGAAUCGAGCGCAUAAGUACUCGUUGGAAAGGUAUGACAAAGCUCUACAUGAUUCUCCCACUGAUCCCCACUAAUUUCCCACGAAAAAUUCUCAUAAAUCCCUAGAACUACUGCUGUUCGUCCACCCACUAAAUUUCUGGACAGCACCUCUACCAAAUCGCAUAGGUAAACAUAAACCAAUUGGAUUGCAGCAUAAAUACAACAAAAUGAUCACGAAAAUCACCUUGAGUUCCUCCUUUCCUCCUUCUUUUCUUCCUUCUUCCUCCCUCCAAACUCCCAUGGAAGACUCGCACCCACAUGACGGACACCAAGCGGGGAGGCUCCACCUUGGAGAGGAAGAGGUGGGGGCGGCUAGGGUUGAGGGGUGGAGCUGCAAUCACUUGGGGAAGAAGGAGAGGGAUUGGGGCGGCUGCAAGAGUGGAAGAGAGGAAGAGAGAGGGGGGGCGGCCAAAGGGGUGGGGGAGUGAGAGGGAGGGGGCGGCUAGGGUUAGGGGGGGAACUAAUGGGCUCCCCACCGCCGGAUCGAGAUCCACGGCCCAAACUCGCUCUCACAUCUGCUCCCGACCCCAGCGCACAAAUCCAACAAGUAAUCUACUGUUUUACUGGUGAAUGCUUCCUAAAAAAAUCUAACCCCAACUACAUAGAUCACGAAAGAAAAGGGAAAAUAAUUUUAACUUCUUUUCAGAAAAUUGGGUAUCACACUCUACCCCCCUUAAAAAGAAUUCGACCUCGAAUUCCGACGCUUCUAUCGGAACGACAAGGAAAGAUCAAUGAAUCAACAAAACUCACACAUAAAGAAAGGUUCUAAGAUACGCAGCAGACGACACUCUAGAGUCUGGUCUUGCUACACAGGAAUCGGCUCUAGCUCGAUUUGAUGGUCUGGAUUCCGCAAAUACUUCCUCAACAUAAAGACAUGGAAUACAUGGUAUACUCUGAUCGUAGACUCCGACAAUUGUAGGUGCUAAGCCAAGCUGCCAACUCGGGCUAAGAUAGUAGACGGUCCUAUAUAACUCGGACAAAGCUUUCCUGACACCAAAUCAACAUUGACACAUGCAAAUACUUCAAUGAAUAUAUAUAUAUAUGAAUGCAAUACAUACUGUGCUCAAAUAGCCUAAACCAAACCUAUCCAAACAAGAGUAACUUCAAAAGAUCAAUUUAAUGCUGGCAUAUUUCUAGACAGCAACACAAUGAUUAUUUGUUUUCCUCAUAACUCACAAAAUAUGCAUCCAAUAGAAGUAAACUAGGACUUUAUGGAAAGCUUACAAAGUCCACUAUACCCUUGGUAUUAUCAUCACCACAAGAUUUGACACUUAGAAAGGCCAAACAAUGCGAAACGUAAAUUUUGUCCAGACUUGGACAGAAUUCAACUACUCACUUCAAAAAUCCAUAAUUGGAGUCUCAGUCAUCCAAUUCAGGCGCUCCUAGACUUUUUAGAAAGCCAGUAAAAUUGUCUAUAUUUCAUUUAUAAACCUAUUAGGUUAAUUCAAUGCAUAUCAAGAUCAAAAGACAUAAGAAAGGCUUUGUUGUCCAAAUUUGGACAGAUUCAAAGAUUCCAAUUAAAACAGUUGUAGCUUAACUUAUAGGUCAACAAAAAGGGUGAUCCAAAAUUUGUUGGAAAGCUUAAGGAAAGUACUACCACUUCUUUAUAAUUUAUAAGAACUGAUUCGAAGUUUAACUUGGGCAAACAAGGUCAGUUUCGAAAUCUAUAUAGAAUCUGGAUAGAUUCCAAGACUAGACUUGAGAAAAUCAUAACUCCCAAACUACUAGACCUAUGGUCAUGAAAUUUUACACAAGUAAGAUGAAGAAGUUGGCUACAACUUUUUAUAUACAACACCUCUACCGAAAACAUGGUGUAAUUCAUUGAACUAGCGGCAUAACCAAAACUGGUCAUGUAGUCCCAAACAGCAAGCAAUGGAUUUAUUCAGGUUCUAUACUCUUCUAAGAUUAAGAGUUCAUCGAAGGACUAAUAACUUUAGGUUCUUCAUUACGAGACACUUAGAGCCAACAUAAGGGUAGAAGAAAUAUGUUUAGUUUUUAAAUCAUUUUAAGCCUGAUCUCACAUCAUGCAAGCAAGAAUCGAUUUAAGCGUACUAUGCCUGCCCAUAUAUCCAUCCAAGCACAUUCUAUACAUUAUAUCAUCCCAUUGAAGAACUCUCUCUUUUUUUUAACUAUACUAUGCAUAUAUAUAUAUCCAUCCAAUAACUCACACAAUCUUCAUCUCCACAUAGACUUCACACGACGUAACUAUUUCAUACUUACGCAAACACGCCAAGACCAGAAAACAUGGCUUCACAACAAUACGUAAUGACAUAUUCAAAUAUUCCUCGUUAUGUCUCUGUUUCAGCCCAACUAUCAAAACCACUACAUCUAUUCCCUCCCACCAUACAACAUAAUUAACAUGGUUUGCGAAAGAGCUCACCAUAACUAAACCAAACUCCCAAAGAAAUAUCCCUAAAUAGAAAAUUGACAAUCAACAGCACAAAUGCUCAUUCUGUCUCUACCUCUUUCACUAUAAAAGCAAUGUUAACAAAGAAAUAUUGUAAAAUCAACUAAACUUCAUGACCUACAACUUUUGUAUUCAAAGGAUAAACAAAGUUUUAUUUUAUCUCCAUUUUUUUAAUUUGACUUGUAAGGCGACAUACAUGAUCUGCCACCAGAAUCUGACGGAACAUGGCCCAUAAAUUCAAAACCUCAUAACUCUCUGCAUCUAACAAAAUUUUACAAAUAUAAACUCAUUGAAAAGAUUAUAACAUUCCAUAAAACUUUUAUUAUAAUGAGUGUCUCAGAAUUGGUUUCCAAACCAAUAAAACAAUGCAACUGCUUUGUUGCAAAACUAAUAGGUUAGAAACAAUGGACAACUAAAAUUCAAAAUACUAUAACUCCUGCUAUACUCAACUUAAAACUACAACGAACACGCGUUGGAAAAGUUUGGAAAUUGUCCACGACUUUUGCAAUAAAGUUACACCCAAAUUUAACUUUAUAGCCCUCAACUCUGCAUGACCUACAGCUAAACUCAGCCUGAGAUACUGCACAUCAGAGAUUCGACUUAUAUCUGGACAACCACCUCUCCCAAUCUAUUUAACAGACAAUUACAAGUAAAUACCCAUUAAAAGGUACAAAGAAAAACUAAAAGUUUUUCUUAAAGAGAAUUCCCAAAUUUGGGCUCUGAAACUAUCAAAACGCGGUCGAUUCAUUAGUGGUUUUAACGACACCUAAAGUUCAGACACAACGGUGCAACAACUUCAGAGUAGCCUAACUCCAAUUAUAUGCAAUGAAAAUUACAAACCAAUACUCUUUUGGAAGAUCAUGAAAUUACUAAAACUUUCAUAAUCCAACAAAACCCAAAAUUUACCGUAUUCAAUGUCUAUACUUCCAUACAAAAUUAAGGCUGCUAUAGAAAACCCAUAACUCUCAAAUGUUUAGACCAAACUGGGUGAUUGAGCAUCCUAUACAAAGAUGAAGAAACCUACUACAAAACAUUCCAGAUAAGUGAAGCCUGAUUCAGCCUCCAACUCAUUUAAAAUGACUCCCAAAACAAAACAACACCUUACCCAUAAUAAAAAAAACAAUAUAAAAUAAAACCCAAGGCAUUGGCAGGUGUGACCCACACUAGGAUUUUCCACUACCAAAUGGGGAUGCAACUCCCCAAAACCUUUAAACCACACUUUACCUAAUAGGUUAGAACACUAAGCACAACAAUCAACGAAUUCAUCAACCUCGUUUGUUAAUGCCACUAAGGUCAAACAUCCAUGUAUCGACAAUGUAUGAAACACCUGACAUACCCGCCUCUAGCACUAUAAAACAUGGUUGUUAUUACACUAGAAUCCAACUAUUAGAUCUCUCCACAACUAUUCUGUUGACGUGAAGCAAAUGGUGCUCAUGUCAUGUAACGUCUUUUCCUCCUCUCAAAAGAGAUAAAAUUUGCAAUACUCAUAAAGCAAUGGAGGGAUAACAACAAGAAAACUAAUGUACUUCUUGACACAGACUCAUGCAAAAGCUUCAUAAAUAUUACUUUCAAUACUAAAAUAAUAACACGAUACUAUGCUCAACAGGAGUAAUUGGACGUCAAUAAGACAAUCCACAUAACCAAGCUACCUUGAUUAACCUCACAUACCACAAAAACUACUAUUACUGCACUUGAACAAUUUGUACCUCGUGAUAUCACAGGAUGCAUUCAAAGUAGUAGACAUACAUGAUCUAUCAAACCAUCAUUCAUAUAAGAAAAAUCUCAAUCCGAUGCAACAACCCCAUCAUUAAAGAGAUAGAUGACUAACAAACAUAAGCAACUCCCAGUUAAGCAUUGACUUUGUUUAAGAUAAAGCGGUCCAAAUAAUGAUUCAACAAGCGUGCAUAGAGAAACUGCUCAUAAAAAAAUCGAACUGCCAUACAAUGUUGGCAAAUAAAAAAAAUAUAAAACGGGUUGUCAAUAUCGCCCACAUGACUAGCCUGCAACAACUAAAAACUAUGCAUAGCCUUUAUGGCUAUUGAAACAAGCCAUAGAAGGAAAACAUGCACGACAUAAAAUCCACUUGAAACCACCCUAUUUAUUGUUAAAAAUAAGGUUGCACAUAAUAAGAAAAUCUAUCAGGUAGACAUGGUUGGACUUAUCAAUGUACGUCAUCUCACAAAUUCACUCGAGUUCUACCAGUCUAAAGAUUUCGUAGACAUUACAACGUUGCCUCUGCUCUAUAGAAACAAACCAAUUUUAUACUAAGAUCAAGUAAGCAAGUAGCCACACUAGCCUAAAAAAGUGAGGUGCAAAGCAUUGCACCCAUGGAAAUAUUACAUUGAUAAGUUGGGUUGGAAAUAUUACAUUGAUUAGUUGGGUUGUUACCCAAUAGUCAAUCAAACUCAACAACACCAUAAAACUACAUUAUAUAGUGUUUUCACACUACACCAAGUCGGAUUAGACCCAAUAUACACAAGCUCAAUAAACAAUCGGUCCUAUAAGUACAAGAACCCAAGAAUCCUUUUGGGGAAAAAAACAUCCACAAUCAAGCAUAUAGAAAUAUAUGAUGGUAAUAGCUCAGAGAUUUGAAAACAUUGCAUCCCAAAAAAACAUCAUGACGAUAUGUAUAUAAAACAAGUACAUUAGUAGCUUCACUUGCAUAAUAUCUUCAAUAACAACCACAUCAAGAAACCAAUAUUAAAUAGAAGUAACAUAUCAUAUCAAGCAUUACAUCGUUAACGACAUACCCCAUCAAACCACAAAGGGAUUUGGAGUAAGGAAGUUCUAGUCAUCUAUACAAUAAAAUACUAAUAUGAAAGAUAUACGAACCCAUACCCUUCCUAUAUGUGCAAGUGUGUCAAAUUUAUCUUUAAAUUGCGUAGAAUCUACAGCCUAUCCUCUGAUACCAACUGUAACACCCCGGGGUCCACAAACACCCCGGAAUGCUACUAAACAACACUUCUGACAUCUAUAUAUUAAAUUUCGGCAGCAACCCCUUUGCAAAUUGCAUAAAUGAAGGGGCAACAGUGUAUAAACUUAUAUCAUGACAAAAACAUACUAAGUAUUAUUAAUCGGCUAGCAAAGAGAAGUUAAACAUAUGACAUGAUCUGAAUUAACUAGUGCGCACGACUAGUUAAAAAACAAACUUCCUUUGACAAUAAGUUCUAAUUAAAUCAUGGCUGCACCUGGGCAGCGUUAUUCUAAGAGUGAAAGUGGACGUGCUCCUACUCCCCUCAUUCCCAGCAUGUAUAAAGUACCAGCAUCGAGUAAUGCAAGAGUGAGAUGACACAUCUCAGCAAGUAAAAUAAUAUCAAACUGUUUAACCACAUAAGAACAUUGUUUUACCACUACUUGAUUCCACAACCUUCUUAUUACGAAGGUGCAGCACGUAUACAACGUACAACACACCUAGUCACCACACCUCACAGGUGGAAACCACAAUAGUAACAUAGUAAUGUCACACUUCAUAUAUACCUCAUGAGUGCAAAUGUCUGCAAAUGCAAGGAUGACUUCUGCCUUCAUACCUCUAAGGAUAUGAAGCUGCAUCAUACCCCUCCUCGGGCAACGUACGAUGCUAAAAAUGUACCGAUACGGUCGUACCAUAAGAUCGCGACAUAACUUCAAAAUGCAAGAUGGAUGAUGCGAUGUGCAUGUCAUGCCUACAACACUUCAUAUAACGUGAUUCAAAAAGAUACUUCAACUUCAUCCAAGAUGGGAAUCAACCACAUAUAUCAUUACCAAAUUAUGAUCAUCCACAAUAUUAGACAAUUGAGAAUUAAUACUUCCAAACAAAUAAACUUCAUCAUAGAAUUCAAUGAUUAACAUAAUUAAAACUUAUGCAUACUCAAUGACAGGGAUUAGGAUGCAACCCAAACGGUAGCAACCACCACUGUAUUUACUUGCCUUUACCGGCAGUUCGGGCAAAUCUCUAAGUACGAUCCGGAAGUCCACCACCUAUUUUUGACACACAACUUAGUGCACCAAUUUCACAUAAUCAGGCUCAUAAACGACGCCGCACCUACGCACAAACUCAAACCCCGCCGCGGGUUACAUCUCUCCCCACUCCCACCAAACUGCAGCGACGCUGCUUAAUAAUUUCAUAACUUUAAAAUUAUGACAGCAGUGGUAACAAACAAAAACUCCAGAGGCAUCUACAUAAAAUUCGCCACAAGUUUUGUAUACAAUUUAUAAUUAAAUUAUAACAUCUAAUUAGCCCAAAACAGUCCACAAGAUGAACCAUGUAAUCUAUUUUUUUUGUCUUUUGGACAGCGACAUACCCGGAUUCAAACAGCGAUAUCUUUUAAAUAUAAUUCCAAGUCAAGCGCAUAAGUACUCAUUGGAAAGAUAAGACAAAGCCCUACAUGAUUAUCAUACUGGUUAACACUAAUUACCCAUGAAAAAUUCCCAGAAACUGCUAAUACUACUGUUGUUCACCCACCUGAAAAAUCUGUUUUUUGGACAGCAACAUAACCGGAUUCAAACAAUGAUAUCUCCUAAAUUAUAACUCCGAAUCGAGCGCAUAAGUACUCGUUGGAAAGGUAUGACAAAGCUCUACAUGAUUCUCCCACUGAUCCCCACUAAUUGCCCACGAAAAGUUCCCAGAAAUCCCUAGAAUUACUGCUGUUCGUCCACCCACUAAAUUUCUGGACAGCACCUCUACCAAAUCGCAUAGGUAAACAUAUAACCAAUUGGAUUGCAGCACAAAUACAACAAAAUGAUCACGAAAAUCACCUUGGGUUCCUCCUUUCCUCCUUCUUUUCUUCCUUCUUCCUCCCUCCAAACUCUCAUGGAAGACUCGCACCCACACGACGGACACCAAGCGGGGAGGCUCCACCUUGGAGAGGAAGAGGUGGGGGCGGCUAGGGUUGAGGGGUGGAGCUACAAUCACUUGGGGAAGAAGGAGAGGGAUUGGGGCGGCUGCAAGAGUGGAAGAUAGGAAGAGAGAGGGGGGCGGCCAAAGGGUUGGGGGAGUGAGAGGGAGGGGCAGAUAGGGUUAAGGGGGGAACUAAUGGGCUCCCCACCGCCGGAUCGAGAUCCACGGCCCAAACUCGCUCUCACAUCUGCUCCCGACCCCAACGCACAAAUCCAACAAGUAAUCUACUGUUUUACUGGUGAAUGCUUCCUAAAAAACUCCAACCCCAACUACACAGAUCACGAAAGAAAAGGGAAAAAUAAUUUUAACUUCUUUUCAGAAAAUUGGGUAUCACACUCACCUCAUAAAAUAUAAACAUCAAAUUCAACUUGUACGUAGAGAAACGAAAAAGAUAAACUUGUUAAUGGAUUUUUGUCUUUUCAUUUCUCCACGUGUAAGUUAAAUUGAAGUUUAUAUUUUUGUAAGGUGACUAAGGACAUCUAACAUUUGUUGCAAAAAAUAUGUUAAAAAAAUUUUAUCAUUAUUUCACUUUUAGUUUUGUAGCCUUGAAUUUAUUAUCUUAUAUCAAUCAAACAAUUAUGAAAAGUUAUAAUAUAUUUUCUUGAUUAAGUUAUAGAAUUAGCUAAUGACCAACAAAAUUUGAACCGAAAACUCAGGUUGUAUAUAUAGAAAUAAAAAGAUAAACUUUGUUAAGGGGUAGAUUGAACCAACUCAAAUAGGUGCAGGGGUAAAAUAAACUAAAAAAUACUUUAGGGAGAUAUAUGGACAUCGUCCAUAGAUGAUGGAAGUUAUAUAAUAUAUCUUAUUUAGUAUUGUUUAUAUGCACUAAUCAGUACAAAGGGGGUCCUAGAGUUUGGUCACAUAAGCAUCUUUACUAUCGGUUGAUGGAUAGAACCACAAUAGUAAAACCAGGAGUUUCUGACGGCUUAAACCGUCGGACAUAAGAGCUAAACCAUCGAACUUAACCUAUUUCUGACGGUAUAUCCCUUAUGUCCGAUGGUAGAUGUCCCUUGGUCGUAAUAUGUUGGAAAUAGCGUUCUUCCGGCAACUUGUACCAUUUCUACAAAAAAAAACAGUGUUAUACCAUACAAGAAACCAUUAGAAACAAAAAUGAGAUAGAGAAAUUAGUAAAAAAACAUACCCACACUACAUCCCAAACUAGUGCAUGUGUGUUGCCGAACGUUCGACACACACCACUUUGAACAAGUCGUCGAUCCAAGUCGUGCAAGCACAAAACAAUGUAGAAAUAAAUACAUGUCUUGUGAUAACAAUUAAACAAAACUAUGUCACUAACUUUUUCACUUGGCUUUAUCAAAACCCGGGACUCGGGUGGAAGCUCCGGAAGUGGUCCAACAAAAUGUAGCUUCCUCGGUCUCCUAACUUGAAAAGAUCUAGACCCAGAUGUGGAAUCUAGCUCCACCAGCAUCAGUAUCCAUACAUGCUGAAUCUCCACCAACAUCGUCUCAAGCAUCAUCUCUAACAUCAUCUCCCACAUCAUCUCUCGCAUCAUCUACCUCAUCCUCUACCACUGCACCAACUACAACAUCUCCUCUUGACUGUCGCUCGAUUUCAGCAUCCUAUGAAACAAGUAACUUACAUCAUGUAACAUCAAGUAACAUACAUAAUAUAAUUUAACAAGUAACUUACAUCGUGUUGAUCGUUUGGAGGCAAAAGUUGUGCCAGCGCUCUACGUCUACUCAUGGAACAACCAGUGCCUCAAAACACUGAGUCCUUACUCCUCGAGCUGCUCCUCAUCCCAAGCAAACUCCGAGCAAAAGACAUCAUUUUCUUUGACAUCUUGUUUUAACAAAAACAAGUUAGUACAUCAAUAAAAAUAUGAAUAUAAAAUGAAAUAUAAAAUAAUGAAACAAAGUAACAAAUGAAACAAAUAAUGAAAUACAAAUCCAUACUCGUCAAUCGUAAUCGUAAUAAAAAUCAGGAUCUAGUUGUUUUUGCUGAUCCAAUAGACGCCAAGUAGCUUUCUUCUUUCUCGACAUUCGUUUUCUUUUUGGAGGAACCUCUACAUAAUUUUGAUCACCUAGUAAGGAUUCUUCCAACAUUUCAGUUUGUAUGUUAAACGUUCUCGUAAGUUUCUCAUCUUAGAAAAUCUUAGCAGCCUCCACCUCCUGCUCGAUUUAACUUUCAACAUAACCAGCAUCACCAGGAGCAUAUAGUCGCUCACGAGGAUUAACUUUUUACACUACCCUCCAAUGAACCAAACUCUUCUUCUUAGAUGGAUGUCAUAUAAUACACCUGCUCGCAUUGGUGGGCAAGUAUUAUAGUGUUGUGGCCAUGUAAUCGAUCUUUGUUUUUCACUUCCACCAUGCCAUAUUGGUUUUCUCACGUUGCACUAUUGGGAGAAACCAAUCACAAUCGAAGAAUACCACUUUUAGUUGUUUAUCUCCCAAAAACUUGUACUCGAUUAUAUAAUUAAUCACAACAUAAUAAUUAGUCACCUUCCCUUGAUCAUCGACAACUCUAUUUACAACUCCAAAAUUGGUUGUGGCUGUAAGAGCAUGAGCACCUUCGAACAUUGUAGAAUGGAAACGGAAACCAUUGACAUUAUACCGACCAUAACGUUUGACAGUUAUUACUACUAAGGACAAUUGUCAAAGGUCCUGGUGUAUAUUGUCAUUCCUAUCUACAUAAUCUUGAAACCAACACAAGAAAUUAGGCCCCCAUAUUUUCCUCUCGAAGAAUCUGAUCACAUUGAUUCAAUGUUGGUUCACGACUAGACAUCCAAUUUUGAGAAUCAAAUUCACUGUAAGUACAAGGAAACAAACCUAUUAGGAUAAGAAAAAACAAGAUAAGCACAAUGAUUAAAAAUUAAGUUUGAACUUAUAGGAGAAACUGAUUCAUCUCUUCCAUGUUAUUGUACAUGUAGAGCAAAGCAUACUUCCAUUUGUCAUUGGUGAAACAGUAAGCUAUUUUGGGUCCUAUAGUUUUGCCCCUCCAUUGAAAAAAUUCAAGAUCACUGCAACGGGGCUCUUUGUCGACAUGGUACCACAACACAGGCGCAUUGACGUUAUGUUCCUUUUGCAAAGUACAGGCUCGUGAACGAUGCUAUCUCUUUGUAUUUGAAUUCAUCGGCGAUGCACCCUUCAACUCGUCUCUUAUUACCAACCAUUGCACGUAGCUUCUUUAGUGUUCUCUCGAUGUGAUACAUCCAUCUAUACUGGACAGGACAACCUACCUUAGCUUCGUAUGGUAGGUGAACAAGUAGAUGUUGCAUCAGAUUGAAGAAACCCAGAGGAAAUAUUUUUUUUCAUGUUUGCAUACCAAAACCGGUAUUUGUUGCUUAAGCUUCUCCAUCAUCUCUUUAUUAAUUUAUUUAGCACAAAGAUGUCUAUAAAAGUAGCUUAGCUCCGCUAACUAUCACACCCGGAUUGAAGGGCAAACCCGAGUGCGUCUCAAAUGUGUGCAUUAAACGACACAAGGAUCUAAUCGAGGCAUCCGUGACUGGAUCAACGACCACACAUCGCCUCCCUCAACGUGCCCCUUCCUUGCAACUGGACACGUGUCACAUCGGAAUUUAAGGGGUAAACCCAGGUGCGUCUCAUAUGUGUGCCAAAGAAGAACAACACAUAUAAUGACCAAGUGUAUAUAGAUAAAUCUCACAAACAUUAUUACAUAGCGGAAGUGUCUUACAAAAAUAAAUGAUAACAAUAAGCGAGCUAAUAUUAUUUCCUUGGCGCCAUUAAGCUGACUAGGAGACGCCACCUAGACUUCAUCAAACUCUUCAUAGUAGUCCUCCUCCUGUGCUACCUGCUCUUCACCUAUGGGGGGGGUUUAUAUAUCGCAAGGGUGAGCUCACAAAAGUUCAUAGCUCAACAAGUUGUGGGGAAUAAUGUGUAUGAACUCACAAAUGGUGGGAGCUCAUGUGUAGUGUCAGCCUGAUCGACAAAUAAUGGUUAAGGCACAUCAUUGGUUUUAAUAUAGUCGGUCAAGUUUUAUUAGCAGUUUGCCCAUGACCGUGAGCAUGGCUGAUAUACCAGUUUUACACUCUUCAGAAGUUGCGCAUCUUUACCCGCAAGUCAUGUUACCCAUCUGCCAUGGGGUUGUAUGACCCCAUACACCUCUACCAAGGAAGCGAGGUAGGGUAACACUAUGAGGCCUUUACAAAGUUCCACUAGCUUCAGGAAAUCUGCUACAGUUUCUAAGGAGACCGAUAUAGGAAUCCCCCGUAUGAAAAGCCAUCUCAACAAGAUCAACCCGAGAACCUCCCUAUAACGACAACUCCCCUACCACCCUUGUGGUAGCACUGUUUUCCCGGGUGGUCGCUCCAUGUUCCAAUUAACAUAAUGAUCUUGUCACGAACAAUAAAUAACUCAUUUAUAAUAGAAGCAGAUCAUGAACGAUGUGUAUCUUAACACCCAAAACCACAUAAAGCAAUAGCAGGUACUACCCAAAAGUUUAGUGGUAAACAAGGUAUAAAGAUGUCUAAACUAGGGUGACCUAUUGGGUCCCAACAAAAUUAACCUAGGCAGAUCAUAAUGAUUAACAAGAACAUUAUUGGUAAAGAAAAGUGAUCAAGGGCACAACUUGCCUUCAAUGAGCUCCUGCGUAGUAUUUUCCACCUGUUGGGUAUUGGGAUCCUCGGUGGCUUGCUCGUCUAUUCGCAACAAUACAAACAAACAUGGUAUAGGAGAAAUUAACAUCACACCAAACAUGUGAAUAUAUUGGAUAAUAAUAUUCUACGCAUCAUAACGAGAUCGUAGGUUUGAAAACCACUAAAUUCAAAGUUACGGUUAAAGAGUUAUGAUUUUCUAAAGAAUUAAGUGUUAGAUAUAAAACAAAUUAAGUGCAUAAUUUAACCUAUGUCACCUAAUAAUAUAAGGUUACUAAAUGAUAAACAAUAUUAAUAUGAGCCCAAAGUAACUGGAAUGGGUUAAUUUGGAGUUAAAACAGUCAAGUUAUGCUUAUUCUAGGAUCUCUAUACUUAUUUUUACACCUAUAAUUGAUUAUCAACUCAUUAUGUAAUUGAUUAUUUGUUUUAUUCCAGAAUUCGGAUGACGGGCAUAAAAUCCGGGUAGCACAGUGGUUACUUUGUAAGAAACCAGGGCUUCACUGUAAGGUGCUUAACACACGGCUGGCUGGCGGGUUAAUGUCAAAUGAUCCAAGGGCUAUUUAGAAAAAAUACACUCCCGAAGGGGUACAGCGGGCUCCCCGCCACCCGAUCGAUCAUGGACGGCCAAGAUUAAAUCUUGGCAACCCCAAACCGUUACGCUACGUCGAUCUUUGCUUCUAGAUCCAAAGGCUAACACACACCCACGCCAGGCCCCAUCACCAGCCAUCCGAUAUGAUCGAACGACCACGGUUUUAAACAAGCAAAGCGGUACGUGCCAUCUAAUCUAAGCCACCCGACUGGAAUCUGACGGUGGAGGGCAACCUUCCCCCACGGCCAGCCCAAACCGGCGGCGCGGAGGUCCGACGCGGUGGCGCCAUGAUCGGACUGCCCAGAGCACCGGCAUGAUGCACCAAACUUAGAUUCGAUCAGUGACACAUAAUGCCCAAUGCAAGACGAACAUGAUGGAUGGGUACUUACUCCUCAAUUCUUCGUAGACUGUCACGGCGACGGCGAGCAGCGAAUCCGCGAGUUCGGUUGGUCACGGGCAUGGAAUUGGGUCGAUUCUAAGCGCCCAAAGCACUGGGACUCCUCCGCGCGGACUUCCUCAGUGGCGGCCGACCUCAACCAGCGACUGCGAGGGCAUGGCGGCGAAGGACGCAAGGCUGUAAUAUCCCAAAAAAAUGUUUCCAAAGGUUGAUCUUCGGUGCGUGGAUGUGGGAAAAGGGUUGUGGGCCGUUGGAUGCUAAGUCACAACCCUGAAGGAAGAUGUAGUAAUAUUUGAGGUUUGUAUUGUAUUUGAAGGAAGGUAAAGUAUUAUUUGAGGUUUGUAUUGUAUCUGAAGGAAGGUAAAGUAUUAUUUGAGGACCGUAUUGUUUUUGAAGGAAGAUGAAGUAUUAUUUGAGGUUUUUAUUGUAUGUGAAGGAAGUGAAGUAUAUUGAUAAAUGCAGCAUGCCAUAUGCAUUGCAUGAUUCAUUUGAAUCUGAAGUUUUGUCGUGACCUAUGGUCCGACCGUACCGGUACAACUUAGCAUCGUAUGUUGUCCGAGGAGGGGUACGAUGCGGCUUCAUACCCACAAAGGUAUGAAGGCAGAGGACAUAUGCAUUGCAUUCACGUGCAUUAUAUUCAUUGAAGUGAUAAUUGCAGAUAUUGUGGAUGCAGGGAAGUGUUAUACAAACUAUUGUGGUUGUUCGAGGAAAUGAGAUGGUAUUGGUUAUAUUGGGACUACUGAGUUCUAUAUCUACAAGUAUUUCUGAUCUUAAUUGUGAUUCCUGUAAAAUAUUGAUUAAUUUAUCUUGUGGUUUAAAUAUCUCAUCAAAACAUUUUGCUCUCUGAGAUGUUUCAUCUCACUCUUGCAUUACUCAAUGUAGGUACUUGAUGCUUAUCAAGGGGAGUGGGAAGUAGCGGCACGUUGCGCACAUUGCUUAAAGAACCAAAUAAUUAUCUUGGGUUAUUGACUUUUGAGGUUCAUACUUUAGAGUAUGAUGUAGUCAUAAGCUGGUUCAUUCGUGGUUAAUUGUCCUUGAUGAGAAUUAUAUCAUACUAGUAUGAUUCAUUUUGUAUUGAUAUAUCUCUUUUGCUUCUGCGAUGCUUAUAAUUACAAAGGAGAUGCUGCCAAAUUUUAUUUUGCUUAGUCUUUGGUUGUUGGUAGUGAAGUCCAGUAGCAUCUCGGGGUGUUUGUGGAUUCCGGGGUGUUACUGUUGGUAUCAAAGCUUAGGCUUUAGAUUCUAGGUAAAUUGAACAUGAAAUUGCACACAUGCACAUAUAGGAAGGGCAUGGGUUCAAAAUUCUUUGAUAUAUGUUAGUGUCUUUGAAGUGCAGAUGACAAUAAUUUCACCCUCCCUAUUCCUUUAUGGUGAUGUGGUAAGUUGUUUAUGACUUAAUGCCUGAUAUAAUUUAUUUCUAAAUUUUGAUAUUGUUUUAUUAAUGCGGUUGAUGUCGCUGGUCUUUUGUGAGAUUGAAGUUGUUAUUAUGCUUGUGAUAUACAAGUAUGCCUAUGUUCUUUUCACCAUGUUUUUCAUGGUUGAGUUUUAUUACAAUAAUAUUGCUAUAUAUUCUUGAUUGAGGAUGUUUCUAAGAGGAGUGUGAAUUGUGUGUUUUGGGUUACAAGGUAACCAUUAAUUUGAAUUUAAGUUGUUGAGCGGUUGGUGGAUAGCUCCAACUAUCUUUGCAAAGAAUGAUUGUUUAUGUCGAGAAACCAGUUCUGAAAGAAAUGAAUAUUGGUACUUAUAUAUGGAUUUUGGGGGAAGUCUUUACAUAUCCAGAAUGGCUUACAUGUCUCUCUUCUAUCGUGUGUUUUAGUAGCCACAAAGCCUAGAUGUGGUUUAAAGUGGUUGCAUGUUAGUCAUGCUAAUUGUAGAAUAAAUCUUUGAUUUUCUUGAUCCAUUGAUUAUGUAUUAAUACGUUGAGGAUCUGAUGGUUCUCUCCCCGAUGCAUGCUUGUGGAGCCAUUGUUGGACCACUUAUCUAUUGGUUUGAAUGAAGUCAUUGCCUAACCUAGAGUUGGUUGUGUGUGGUUAGUGACCUAUUUCUAAAUGAUGUGGUUUUUACAUCAGCAUGAGAUGUUUGCCAAAUUUGUGAAGGAUUACGGGGUUAGUAUUGACCCUGUAUGUAUGGUACUUUGAGUGCAUCAUAUGAUAGAAUGAAAUGUAAGUUUCUGAACUACAGUAGAUGAAGACUUAUAUUAUGUGUAGGUUAAUCUUACUAGUUUGGAUAUUUUUUUAGUUGAGUUGUUGGAUGAAGUAUAGUGACAUGGGUUAAGCAAAUAUUGUGUUGUUGUUGUGCUGUCAGUGCUCUUUGUGGAGUUUUUGGCAUUUCUUCGAUGAACUGUGCCUCACAGAAUGUUAUUGACUUCUUGUCGGCUUUAUUGCUCCAUUAGUUCUAUAGAUUUUCUCCCUUUUGUGGGGUGCAAAGAAUGUUAGAUUACAUGAUUAUCUUUUCAUGAUGGAAAGAACUAGGUUUAGGAAGAUUAGGAGUUUUGUUUCAAUAGAACUACUUGUUUCGUGGUGCUGUGAGGUGAGGUGUUUGAUCUUCUUAUACAUUCAUCUGGUGUGGAUGUUUCACCACUAAAUUAAAAUGAAUUGUUGAAGUUGGUAAGGGUUGUGCUUAGUGCAUAUUACCCCUUCAUAAAAGAGUGUCAUUUUAAGACAUUGAUGCUGAUGUAUGGCUGCAUCCAAAUUUGAUGUUGUGAAAUCGUAGUUUUGAUUGCAUCUAUGACUUGCUUUGAGCUUCAUUACAUGUUGUUUCAUGCUUGAUGUUAGGUGGUGUAGUUUCCUUAGACAAUUAGUCUGAGGUAGAAGUUCUUGUGUUAAUUAAGACCAAUAAUGGACCCAUGUUUUGAAUGGUGGUGCUAUAUGGGGUACCUUGGAUGUUUUGUUUGGAGUGGUCGAAUUUAAGGACGAAUUUUUUUAAGGGGUAGAGUGUAAUAUCCCAAAAAAAAUGUUGCCAAAGGUUGAUCUUCGGUGCGUGGAUGUGGGAAAAGGGUUGUGGGCCAUUGGAUGCUAAGUCAGAGUCAUCUGAGGCGUCGUUUCUUUUCUCCCGCAAAGAAACUCUAGUGGCCGCCCUCCCCCCUUUUUCCCCUUUCUUGGCCGCCACCCCCUUUCCCCACACUUGGCCGCCCCUCCCCUUCCAUUUUGCUGGCCGCCCCCUCUCCUCUCAUGGCAGCCGCCCUCUACCCUCUCCAUGGCUUUCACCUCCCUCUAGAACUCCCCCCCAAGCAGCAAGGAUCGAGAAGAGGAGGAGCAAGUUGGAUUGAAGAGGAAGAGAGGACCAAGGAAAUGUUCUAUCCCUAUCUCUUCUUGCAAAUUUUCUUGGGGAAACCGUAGGUAAGGAUGAGAUCUAUGUUCCUCUCUUCAAUUAAGUGUUUUUGCAAGUUUUGGAUCAUGGGGAUUAAAGGAUUAGAGGUUGGAUUAGAUGUGGGGUUAGAUUUUAAUCUCGAAUUUAAUUUCUGCAGAAUGACAGAUUCGAUAGUUUCAGUUCAUGCCAGUUUUCCGUGGUCUUAGUGGCCCCAAAAAAAUAAAAAGUCUGUAUAUGAGUCGUAGCUAAUUUGUAGAUCUUUACGUGGCCACGAAGAACACCUCAAUCGGACAUCAGAUCAGAGAGUUAUUGUAGUUUGAUUAUAGCAGUUUUUCAGUCUCAUAAUUCUGUGCAGAAUCUGUUCUCUUAAGAUUUAGGAAAGUUUAUCAACAUAAUUAAACCUUGGGUUUGUUAGCAAAGUUGUAGAUAAUUUUAUAAGAUUUCCAUAUUAAUAAAGAGUGUAUUCAUAUGAAUUUUUAAACUCCAGUUAUGUUUGUUUUACUGUGGCUGUUUCUGUUUGCCUGGUAAAAAUGAGCGGGUCUGUUCACUGGUGGGUUUCAUCUAGUAAAUGGCCGAAUUGACUCUUCCAACUAUGAAGAAUUUUGUAUAGGGAUAAAAGUUCUUACUUCAAGCAGAAUUUCAUAAUUUUUGGUUGUGUAGUUUGGGAGAUAUCAAAUUUUGAAGUUAACUAUGCUGCUGUCUGAAACAGAUUUAGUCAGUUAUCUUGUCAGAUGUUUUAGAACUUAUAGAAGGCAAAAUUUAAUUAUCCAUUUAAUACCGAAGUUGUAGAGUAUUUUGUGUAGAUACUCCUAGAGUAUUUGUUUGAUAUCACCACUGUUAUAAUUUUAAAGAUACAAAAUUAACAAAUAGUGUUGCUGCUGUUUAGCAUGUGGUACAGGGUGGGAGUCUUUCCACGAGGUCUUGGUUUCAAGUGUAUGAACGAUUUGUUGAUUGUUGGCAAAUGUUUGUGGAAUAUUUGUACUAUGUUUUAUGCCCCACAGCAGGUGGCUACACUCCGGAUCAUGCCAAGUACAUUUUUCUUAUUCGAUGAAGGCAAGUGAAUGUAGCGGUGGUUGCUACAGUUUUGACUUGUUAUUUUUAUCGCCUGCACUCUAAUAUUCCGUAUUAUUGAAUUCUUUCAUAAUUGAACUAUAUGAUGAUGCUUUACUUGAUUGUAUUAUAUUGAUGCUCAAUCAUAUAUUGAUGAUGAUUAUGGUUCGAGUAUGACCCAUGAGAUUAAUUCACAACCCUGAAGGAAGAUGAAGCAAUAUUUGAGGUUUCUAUUGUAUUUGAAGGAAGGUAAAGUAUUAUUUGAGGUUUGUAUUGUAUCUGAAGGAAGGUAAAGUAAUAUUUGAGGUUUGUAUUGUUUCUGAAGGAAGAUGAAGUAUUAUUUGAGGUUUGUAUUGUAUGUGAAGGGAGUGAAGUAUAUUGAUAAAUGCAGCAUGCCAUAUGCAUUGCAUGAUUCAUUUGCAUCUAAAGUUUUGUCAUGACCUAUGGUCCGACCGUACCAGUACAACUUAGCAUCGUACGUUGCCCGAGGAGGGGUAUGAUGCGGCUUCAUACCCUCAGAGGUAUGAAGGCAGAGGACAUAUGCAUUGCAUUCACAUGCAUUCAUUGAAGUGAUAUUUGCAGAUAUUGUGGACGCAGGGAAGUGUUAUACAAACUAUUAUGGUUGCUCGAGGAAAUGAGAUGGUAUUGGUUAUAUUGGGACUAUUGAGUUCUAUAUCUACAAGUAUUUCUGAUCUUAAUUGUGAUUCCUGUAAAAUGUUGAUAAAUUUAUCUUGUGGUUUAAAUAUCUCGUCAAAACAUUUUGCUUGCUGAGAUGUUUCAUCUCACUCUUGCAUUACUCAAUACAGGUACUUGAUGCUUAUCAAGGGGAGUGGGAAGUAGCGGCACGUUGCACACAUUGCUUAAAGAACCAAAUAAUUAUCUUUGGUUAUUGACUUUUGAGGUUCAUACUUUAGAGUAUGAUGUAGUCAUAAGCUGGUUCAUUCGUGGUUAAUUGUCUUUGAUGAGAAUUAUAUCACACUAGUAUGAUUCAUUUUGUAUUGAUAUAUCUCUUUUGCUUCUGUGAUGCUUAUAAUUACAAAGGAGAUGCUGUCAAAAUUUAUUUUGCUUAGUCUUCGGUUGUUGGUAGUGAAGUCCAAUAGCAUCUCGGGGUGUUUGUGGAUCCCAGGGUGUUACAACGGUGGUGCCAAUCUCUCCUCUCGCUGAGCUCUCAACUGGUGGCAGUUUCCUCUGUGAUUCGGAACACAAGCACGGCUGAGGGCCCUACUCCCCAUCAUAUAUGCACAAGGAAGGCUAGUUGGAUUCCAGGGUGUUUCACGAUGAGUGUGGACGCGGACAUCGCAGACUCUGUUACGCUAGCGCGAGCAAUUCUCCCGGGAAGCAAGGCACUGGCCUGCCGGACCCGCAGGGCAGUGGCUCCCAGUGCAAGCCGUGAGAGGGAUGGGAACUGGCACUGGGCCCGCGUCACAGUGGCACUAGUUGCAAGCACGCGAUACACGGCUGCGACGGUGAGUGGGACCCACAUGUUCGCGCCUGCAUCAGAUUCUUGAGCCGCACGAUGGAAAAGAGUGUCUAGGCCAAAAGUGAGGAACUAGGCCCAUUCCGCUUCCUAUUGUUUUCUCUUUUUGAUUCUUUCUUUUAUAAUUUCUAUUUUGUUUUUUCACUUAAAUUCAUAAUUUGAAUUCUUGUUUUACUCUCCAGAUUUCAAAUAUCAAACAAAAUUCUAAUACUUCUAUUGCUUGCAAUGAUAUUAUUUAUUUAUUAUUAUUUAUUCUCCUUCCUAUUAUUUAAUUAUGGAAGGAAUAAUUACUUUAUUAUCAUUUCCUUUCUUUACUCAUUUUCUGUUUUAUAUUUUCAUUUAUAAUUUGAGUUCUAAUUUAAAUUAUGACUCCUUUACUCAAAUAAAAUGAAUCACACAAAAAGAAACAUCAACAUGAAUGCACCUUUAAUUUGUUCAACUUGAUCUCUUUAUUGACAUAUGCAAAAGAGAAAAUGGGAUAAUUAAUCACAUAAGUUCCAAAAUUCCCCAAAACAAUAACAUAUAAAUAUAUUUAUUUAUUUAUAUCAUUAUUUUCUCUGUUACAAAUUUUGGGCUUCACAACACGGCGGCGCCGCCGCACAUACAACGGUGAACACGCCGGAAACAUUGGAUUCGCCACGAGGAUGCAUCUCCCCAUCUAAAAUGCUCUAUAUGUCGUGAAGUUCAAGGAAAACACACAAGGAGGAGACUCACCUGUGAUUAUGGCAUAGAGACCUCCGCCCAUGACGAGGAGCGACUCCGUCGCGAGUAUAUGACUCUGGCGAGAAAUUCUCGCACCGUCAAGGGUCUCCCUCAUCCCAAGAAACCUCUACGAGCAUACUUGCUCCCUAGUGAUAACCAUUGGAUUGCUUUCGAGGAUCAAGCGAUGGGGUGGAUCAAUGUCAACGAUGACUCCUCUUUGUUGGCAUGGGUUGGGGUUGAGACUGGGUCUUUAUAUCGAGAGGUGAAGGCGUAUCGGCCUAUGUUGUUACACUGGUGAUGCGAAGUCCGCCGCAAUUGUUACACCUCAGCAGGGAUUGAGUGCAAGGUAGGAGAUCAGUAGUGGUCAAAGGGGCCCACUAGUUAGCGAUCUGGUGCAUGCUCACACAGGCCGACCGCAAGGGCCCACAUGUCAUCAACAGAUAGAAGAGCAUGUGGUGGGUCCGACUGUUGUGACUAGUUUCUAGAUCCGGUGGUACAUUUAAAUUUUCACUUACGGUUUUAGUUAUCAAACUUCAGCGAAAAACAGGUGGGGCUGGCUUAAGGAACCGCCAGUGCAGGCUUAUGGAUAUGCUUCCUCAUUUAUCCCAAGGUUGGAAAUGUGCUGGUGCUCGACUCCUUGGAUUAUGACCCUUCGACCUAUACAAAAUUUCUCAGCAUCUUAGAAUUGUAAGCCUUUUCUAUGCAUGCAUAAUUUUAUCGAUGAAAAUUUGAGAAUAACAUAGUGAUUCUAUUUGAGAUCAAAGGGCUUAUAGAUUCUAUAAGAUGAGAGGUGGAAACUAUGAUACGUCAAAACAACAAGUGUCACUAGAAAUCCACUAUAAAUGGCCGGUAAGUAUGCGAAUUUAUGAAUAUAUCCACUAUAUAAUGUUGGAACUAAAUAACCAAUCUCCCCUUUAUGUAGUGCCACUAGUAACCACCCGGAUCUUUCCUAUGUGGGUUCUAUGUGUGAGAGUUCAUGAGACAAAACACACGAUACAUUACAAACCCUGGCCAGGUAUUAUUAGUAAUAGCAUGUAUGUAUUUAUGUAAUUAAAGAUGCAAAUAUGUUAUCGAGUGUAAAUAUAUGAUGUUUAUAAACUUUCUUUACAGGAAUUUCAACAAGGAAAGCUGGAGAACAUGAUCGAAGGUGCAUUGUAUGACAUAAUUGAAGAUUUAUGCACAUUCAUAAUGAAAGAUGUCAUUCCCAUUAAAGGGAAAUAUCAUGAUGCUACCAGUACAUUAGCUAGGCCAGAGUUUAAAGUACUCACAGAAAUUAGUAGAAUAUCUCUUAGCCGAGAUAGUUAUUAGAUCUUAGGUAAAAACUUUGAUGUCUAGAAUAUGUGAUGGUUGUAAACACAAGACUUAAUAUAUAUAAAUGUAUAAUAGAAUUUAAUUCCAUGUUGCUUUCAAUAUGAAUGUCAAUAUAUAUAUAUAUAUAUAUAUAUAUAAUUCAGUUUUGUUUUGAAAAUUUGAAAAGAGGCCGGAAAACUACCACUGGUGGCCAAAAAAAUAAAACAGUAAGUGGAAAGUGCAUUUCCACUAGCGGUUUUAAUAAGAAAACUGUUAGUGAAAUGUUAUUUCCACUACCGUUUGGUUACGAGAACCGCCAGUGGAAUUUCUAUUGGCGGUUUCUAGUGGAAAUAGCAUUUUCACUAGAGGUUCUAAAAUAAUUGUCAGUGGAAUAUUGAAUUCCACUAGCCCCUAGAACUGUUGGUACAAAAAAAACGCCAGUAUAAAUAGGUUUACAACCGCCACUACAGAACUUCUCUGUAAUAAUGAACAUCUACUUUCAACGGCUGUCAGUAUAGCCAUAGGAGAUAACGGCUCUUGGAGGCCCUCAGAGUUUUUUGGUGUACGGGUCAUUGGACGUUUUUCAGUUUCUGUUUUGAACGGGCUGGUACCGAAGGAUAUCCAAAAUGAGACUAAUAUGUGACCACCUAUUAGAGGAAUCAAAUCUCUCCGUAUUUAAUUUUAAAUAGAAAAAAAGAUUGAGGAUGUUUGGUUUAUAGAACUAAUUUUUAGUCCAUACAUUUUAUUUUAUUUUUAGUUCAUAAAUUGUCAAAUACGCAUGUAACCGAACAAGACCUCGGUGGAUCAAAUUAUGCCACAAUACCUCACGUUAACGUACUAUUGUACGACUCCAUUUAAUUUGGAACUAGUUUUUGGUCCACUAAUUUUAGGUCCUGGCCGGUCUACAACUCAAGUUCCUUUGAACUAUUUCGUUCCUCCGAUCCUAGCUUUUGAAAAAUUAAUUAGUUCUACCUAAAUGGACGCCUCUCAUAAUAUCUAAAGAUGGAUAAUGAGAAAUCAUCAAAUCAUAGACUAAAAAUAUAUAAAAAAUGUUAUGAACCAAUUUUCAUACAUAUCACGAACUAACAACCAUCUUUUUGAGAUAGAAAAACAUGGGACUGUGAAUCGACAACAUCAUCGAUGUUACUGUUUCCCAUUUUGUACAUGUACAUUCUUUCUUUUAAGGGGGUUAUAUUUUUUUCACGGCUCACAGUCUACAAUAGUUUUUUCAUACCUACAUGCCAACUAAACAACAGACCAUUAGUCUAUUUCCAAAAUGAUCUCAGUGUAUCGCUGAAACUUUCCUUGCACUUAUACACAGACAAAUAUUCAAUCUUUCCACAUCAUCAUUCAAUAAGCUGGUGAGUCAUCAAAAUUUCUUGGACAUGACUACAUUAUUGAAUAUUUUCAUGGAGAUAUUCAAUUAUAUUGUUUGACCCAUACCUGUUUAUUGUUUCACCAAGAACAUCUUUCAAUUAUGGAUCUAUCAAAGUCACUUUAUUAUCGCGCGCAUACAGGACAUCUUUCAGUAAUUUAUGGUUUAAUAUUGAGCAUACGCUCAGUACAAUUACACCACAUGCCAUGCCAGGGGCCGCAUAGAUUAUUUAGGUAGCUAGCUAGGUUUCGACUCAUACCUUAUGAGUGGAAGGCUAUAUACGUGUGUGAACUUUAACGAUGAGGAGCCCUCGGGCUCUUUAAAUUACGGAUAUCAAUGAUACGAGACGUGCGGUGUGAUUCAGUACCGACGUCCAUCAGCUUUCUUCCAGGAUGUAUGUCCUUGGUAAAGCUGCUGGUUCCUCCUUCGUUUCUUGCAUAUGAAUUUGCUAGCGAGGUGGUUUCUUCUGCCAUCGUUACAAGAAAACUCCCAUGAUCAAAGUAUGCAACUAUGCACAUCAUGUUCAAAAUGAGCAGUGCCACCGUUGCAGGCUUCAUCUGCAUAUAUUGGAUGCGUAUGCGUUAUGCGAUAAUUUCUAACAUAAUAAUUAAAUUAGUACAUGGAAAAUAUAUUGAAUCGUACUGAAGAAAAGUGGUGUAGCUCACAAGAAGAAAAGGACUCACCCCAGUUAGCUGAUUAGUGAAGGUUUGUGUUGUUGAUAAUCGAAGAUACUCGCCUGGCAAUGCUAUAUAUAGCCGUAUUAAUAGAGAAGUCUUUUCUCGGUCAAUAUGAGUUAGUUGUUUUGGGUUUGUUCUAUAAGUCAAUCGCUAUGUCAACUUUGACAGGUUAAAUCAGGUGUUUCAUAAAAUUUUACAAUAUAUAUAAAAGUAAUUACUAGAUUCACAAUAUGAUUAGUAGACUCAACCCAGUUAGUUCAUUAUGGCGCACUACAAUACUACUACAGAAGCAUCAUAUUUAGUAUUAAUGGUCUAGACCACCUAAUAUUGCAAGAAUUGAUUUCCGCAGUUGGAGCCAAGCAAUAGUCAUAGCUCCAGCUGUUGCUGCCAAGUGGAGGGCAUAAAGAUUGGACAUGUAUCAGUAUCACCGAGGGUGUUCAAUAAAAAAAAUGAGAUCAUUCACUAUGGGGCGUUUGGUUGCCUUCCCUGUGGGUGUAAGUGCAUCUGCACAUACAAAAAGCCGUCUUAAUUAGUUUGGUUCGCUGUAUUCCAAGGGGCAGGCCAGCACGAAGCUCAAUGCGCCGCGAGCCAGGCGCCACGCCUCGCACGGUCGCACGCGCGCGGCUAGGCUAGGCUUGGCUGAGCCGACUAUUUACUCAAGCAUGCAAAUCGAGAUGUUGGUUUUGUUUUUUAUAUCUUGUAAUUAAAAGAUUUAAUUACCGAACCGAUUUCAUAUCUGUGUUUCUGAUAUUUUUACGAACGCAACUAGACCAAACAUGUUAUGUAUAUUUUAAAUUAAAAUAUUACGUGAUUAAGAUUAGCAUAUAAUUAGUGUUUAUUAACAUAUAGUUAGUGUCUAUUAAAUGAUUUUAACAUAUAAUUAUUGUCUAUUAAUACAAUUUCCAUUUAUUUAAUUACUUUUUUAAAGCAUACAAUAAAUAUUCAUACAGGCAACCAAACAACAUUUUUCAUGAACCUGACUUAUCACAUACCGAACACAAGAAGUUGUAUAUGUCCAGCCACACCAGUCAGAGCCAGGCUCACUAGAUACGAGCCAGGCUCAGCCAUGCAGGCAACCAAACAGGCCCAUAGGGGGACUUGGUUCCAUAAGCCAAACAAGCCACAAUAGUCAUCUAGUAAGAUAGACGAGCAAUAUGACCACUUCCAUAAGCCUAAUACAAUUCAGGAUUUGUUCUACGUUCAAUAAUAAUAAAUACAUCUAAAUGUUUUGUUUAUAGCAAGGCUUGCUCGAUGGGGGACUUUGUCGGAUGGGCCGUUCUUAGGGAGUUUCUUGGGCUUUUUUUGGACACCUCGUUCCUGUUCCUAGGUGCCCGACACCUUCCGUUUGACAAAAUAGAGAAUAACGAGACUAAAAACCAGAGACGUCCCUCUAACCAAACGGGACAUAAAUCAACAUAAAAUCUCAUCGAGCAACAUGAUAAACAAUAAGACAAAAUAGAGGGCAACUUCGUUGGUUCGAAGUUGGACAUUUGAAUAGGCCUUGAUCAUUUCCUUUAUAUACUGCGGUAGUCACCAAAGAGCCUCUAGCGUAAUGGUUAAGACUUUCAAGUAGCAAGGUCCCAGGCUCAAUCCAUCUGGAGGCGAAUUUUGGGUUUGGUUAAAAAAAUUCUCUCGUUGUGCCCCACCCGCUCUCGGGUUAUGUCCUGCGCACCACCCUCCGGCUGGGCCAUUGCAGAGUGGGCGGUGAUGGCCCCUAGUGACGGGGCAGAGUUCGAAGAUUUCUCAAUCAGUACCAUGUUUCGAUCUCUUAAUAUAAUACCGAGAGGACGAUCUUUCCCUCUUCGGUCGAGUUUUUUAUACUGCGUAGUCUUAUCUCAAUAAGAAACAACUGUAAAACGUGGCCAACAAGUUUCAUAUUUGAAAAUACAUCACAUAAAUAGCUAUGGAUAUGUCGAAGUCACAUUAUUAUCGCACACGGGACAUAUUUCAAUAAUUUAUUGUUUAGUAUUGAGCAUAGCUCAGUACAAUAACACCACAUAUUUUAGAAGCCACACACAUUAUUUAGAUAGGUUUCCACUCAUAUACAAUACAAGGGACUUGAUCUGAGAACCUGGCGAUCGAUCUGCAACAUACCGUAUGUGUCUAUAGGUCGGAUACCCAGCAUAUGAUGAGUGGAAGGCUAUACAUGUACGAACUUUAGGGAAUGCAACCAGCUGGAGCUAAGGAUGAGGGUUGCCUGAGCUCAUUAUGUGACGCAUAUCACUGAUAGAAAACCCACGGUUUGAAUCAGUACCGGCGUCCAUCAGCUUUCUUCCACGAUGUAUGCCCUUGGUUCCUUCAUUUCUUCCAUACGAAUUUGCCAGCAAGGUGGUUUCUUCGGCCAUCGUUCCAGGAAAGCUUCCAUGAUCAAAGUAUGCAACUAUGCACAUCAUGUUCAACAAAAUGAGCAGUGCCACCGUUCCAGGCUUCAUCUGUAUAUAUUGGAUAUAUAUCUACGCGUUAUAUAUGCUAUUAUUUUGUAACAUAAUUAGUACAUGGAAAAUAUAUUGAAUCCUACUACUAAAGAAAACUGGUGUAGCUCACAAAAAGAAAAGGACUCACCCUAGUAAGCUGAUUAGUU
rnacentral:lncRNA from 1 species